CUUGCUGCUGCUGUCGCAUACAUGAAAAAAGUUCUAUAUUCACUUCGCACCAAUUGGCCGACCAUGCCCAAGAGGAAGGCCUCAGGUUUCUUUAGAAAAGUAUAUUUCAAAACCUUUUUAAAUCAUUAUAUAUCAUUUCCCAGAAGGCCUUGAUCUUUGGGCACGUCCACCAAAGGUGAAAGAAAGUACCUUCAUUUUCUUUACAUUUCCAACAUUUAUUAUCGGGCGAAUGAUAGAUUUUUGCUAGCUUGACUGGGGUUAAGUACCACCUAUAAAUCAUUUUCAUUAUAUUUUCUCUUAAGGCAUUACAAGCCAUAAAUUUCAUACCUGUGGUCCAUAACCGUUCCCAGUCAGCAAACAUAAUAUUAUGUCCAACAGCUUGUGCCCAUUUAAUCAUAGCAGAUUUAACCGUUUCAUCCUGUGUAUUCCAUUUCAGCAACAAGUUAUGCAUUCUUGACAAGUUCUUAAUUUUAGGCUCUAACAAUUCCGUUUCCAGUUUGGAUUUUUCCUCCUGGAAACCAAUCUUUUUAUCUAGGUUAAAAGCCUCCCUUAUUUGAUAAUAAUGAAGCCAGUCUCAAACUUUAGUUUUCAGUUUGUCAAAGCUCUGCACCUUUAGUUUAUCUCCAACCUGUUCUAGAAUUUCACAGUAUUUUGGCCAAUUUGUCUCCAUAUUAGUUUUUUUCAAUGCCUUAGCCUCCAUUGGUGACAGCCACCUUGGUGUUUUACUUUCCAACAAAUCCUUAUAUCUCACCCAAACAUUAAACAAUGCUUUCCUGACAAUAUGGUUCUUAAAGGCCUUAUGCGCUUUAACCUUGUCAUACCAUAAAUAUGCAUGCCAUCCAAACACAUUAUCAAAACCUUCUAGGUCCAAAAUGUCCGUAUUUUCAAGAAGUAGCCAAUCUUUCAGCCAGCAAAAUGCGGCUGAUUCAUAAUAAAGUUUAAGAUCUGGCAGGGAAAAUCCACCUCUUUCCUUUACAUCUGUUAAAAUUUUAAAUUUUAUUCUAGGCUUUUUGCCCUGCCAGAUAAAUUUAGAAAUAUCUCUUUGCCACCUCUUGAAGCAGUCCAUUUUAUCAACAAUUUGCAGUGUUUGAAACAAAAACAGCAUUCUAGGCAAUACAUUCAUCUUUAUCGCAGCAAUUCGGCCCAACAAUGAUAACUUCAAUUUUGACCAUAUUUCCAAAUCCUUCUUUACUUCUAACCAACAUUUUUCAUAGUUAUCUUUAAACAAAUUCACAUUUUUAGCAGUCAUAUGCACCCCUAAAUAUUUCACUUUAUUAACUAAUGUUAAUCCUGUCUCCUUCUGAAACCUCUCUUUCUCAAUCUCUGUAAGAUUUUCUCUAAUACCUUAGUUUUCAUCUUAUUCAAUUUAAAACCUGCUACUUGACCAAAUUCUUGAAUUAAUUGCAAUACUCUUUUUGUACUGGAUUCUGGCUCCUGUAGUGUCAAAACUAAGUCAUCAGCAAAAGCUUUCAAUUUGUACUGUUUAGCUCCGAGUUGUAUACCUUUAACCAAUUGGUCUUUCCUAAUCAUAUUGAGCAAAACCUCCAGGACCGAUAUAAAAAGCAGUGGGGAGAUUGGGCAACCCUGUCUUGUUCCUUUCUCUAUCUUAAAUUCUUCUGUAACUACGUUAUUUACGAUCAACUUAGCUUUUUGUUCUGAAUAAAUUGCACCUAUACCAUUUUCAAAACUUUGGCCUACCCCCAUCCCCUGCAAAUUUUUCUUCAUAAAAUUCCAAGAAAUAUUGUCAAAGGCUUUCUCCGCAUCCACAAAUAUUAAAACCGCUUUAGCAUUGAUAUUAACUUGCAAUUUUUCUAGAAUAUUAAUAAUAUUCCUCGUAUUAUCUGACAGAUGUCUCCCCGGGAGAAAGCCCGCUUGAUCUUUAUGAAUUUCUUUCACCAAUACAUUUUUUAAUCUUUUAGCCAUAAUUUCCGCAAAAAUUUUGUAAUCCACAUUAAGUAGGGAUAUGGGACGGUAGUUCUUCAACUGUGUCUUUUCCACUUCUGUUUUUGGUAUAAGUGUAAUGUAUGCUUCUUUCCACGACUCGGGUGCUUUUCCUCCCUGUAGUAUUUCAUUGCAAACUUCUUUCAAAGGUUGCAUUAACCAUUCUUUCAAAGAUUUGUAGUACUUUGCAGUUAAACCAUCUGGUCCUGGAGAUUUGCCCAAUUUCAUAUUCUGAAUGGCUCCUUCCACCUCUUGAUCAGAUAUUAUAGAGUUUAAUAUUGAUUUGCUCUCUUGAGAUACUUUUUGUAAUCCAUUAAUUUUCAAAAACCGAUCAAUGUCUAAUUCUUUCUGGGUCUCCUGGGUGUAUAACUGUUUAAAAUAGUUCUGAAAGCACUUCCGAAUCUCUCCAGGAUUCUGUAUAUUCUUCCCUUCUACUACCAAAUUCGUGAUCGUAUUCAGCUUUUGUCUUUUUUUCAUUUGCCAAGCCAAAAAUUUCCCACACUUAUUUGCCGAUUCAAAUGUCUUUUGUUUCAUCUGUUUGAUCUUCCAUUCUAUUUCCUGAUUCAUCAAUUUCAUGUAUUGUACUUGGUAUAACUUUAUCUCUCUUAAAAUCUCCUGUGAGUUCGGUUUCGCCCUCAGUCUUUUUUCUCCAUCCUUAAUUUUCUCCAAAAUUUUUUCUCUCUUCUCAUUUUGAUGUCUUUUCCUAAUUGCAUUUUGUUGUAUCAAAAAUCCUCUCAUCACCGCUUUACUGGCAUCCCAAAUCACUCUUUUCUCAGUCGUAGUGUUCAUAUUUAUCUCAAAGUAGUCUCUCAAAUUUUUCUGGGCCUUUUUGAUAAUUUCCUCAUUCCUAAGCAAGGCGUCAUUCAUCCUCCAUCUGAAAGCUCCAAUUGGCGUUAGUAUCAUUUCAAUCUUUACUGGAUUAUGAUCAGAGCAAAUUUUCGGGCAAAUCACCGCUUUUUUAUCUUAGGGGCCAGUCCCCUGGUUAUCCAGAUUUGGUCUAUUCUUGUCCAUGUCAUUUUUGCUUCAGAGAAGAAGGUUCCUUCUCUUUCCAAGGGGUUCUUUAUUCUCCAAAUGUCCACAAGAUCCAUAUUGUCAGUCAUUUCAAAAAAUGUCUUUGGUAAUCUUCCAUCUUUCGUCACCGUUUGUCUUUGGGCUUUAUCCAUAUUUGUAGACACUACUCCAUUCAUGUCUCCCAUCAAAAUAAUGUUGUAAUCCAAAUAAUCCAGUAGGGUUUCAUGCAAUUUUUUAAAGAAUUCUGAUUUUCCUUCAUUUGGUGCAUAAACACCUAAUAUCAAAAACUUCUGGCCGUGAAACUGAAUUUCAAUUGCUAUAUAUCUUCCUUGAUCAUCUUUAAACAUAAAUUUUGGUGACAGGCAUUCCUUUGCAUAGAGUACUACUCCUCUUUUUUUCACAUUAUCCGAUGAGAUAAAUUCUUCUCCCAAUCUUUUGUUUAUCAAAAUUUUCCGAUGUAGCCUUGUCACAUGCGUCUCUUGUAGACAAAUCAAGUCCAAAUGUUCUUUUUUUAAUGUAUGAAAUACUCUCCCCCUUUUUGCCGACGAAUUUAAGCCAUUAAUGUUCCAACUUAAAACUUGCAGUGUCAUUUUGUACUUGCUCUCCUUCUCCUCCAACAGCCCCAAGAAGUUUGUCUAUAUCUGUCGGUGGCGUUGGUUUCGCUUUUUUUUGCAAACUCUUAUCCAGUACAGCAGGGUCUUUUCCGAGUCCUUUCUGUAGAUCUUCUUCAUAUGCGCUCAAAAACUUGUUCUUUUCCUCCACUGAUCUUAUCUUAGUCUUUCUUCCUUUAAAACUAAAGGAUAGACCUUGAGGGAAUUCCCACCUAAAAAGAAUCUUGUUUUUUCUCAGCAAGGCCACCAAGUCUCCAAAGUCUUGUCUUAGAUCCAAAAGAUGUUUUGGUAUGUCUUUAAAAAUUUCCACUUUUGAUUGUAGAAUUGUCAAGGGUUUCUCAUAGUGCAGGCCCAAAAUUUUGUCCCUCUCUUCUUUAGAUCGGAGGGUAAUCAAACAAUCCCUUAUUUUAAUCUUUCUUCCUCCUUUCCCCAAUCUGAAGGCCCUCACAAUCUUAAAAUCCUCUUGUUUCAAAUCCGAUUUCCAGAAUUCCGCAAAUUCUUGUGUCAGAAAGUCUAUCAAGGUGCCUUUCUCCAACUCAGGAACAGCCCUGAUUCUUAGGUUGGAUUGUUUAUCUCUAAGGUCAAUCAUAGACAGCGUCAGCUUAUGUUCUGCAAUCUCUUUCUGUAGGUCUGGUACCUUCUCAGUUUCCAAUUGCCCCAAUUUGAAUUCCACCGCAGCAGUUUUUUCCUUUUCUUUUAAAAAGCCAUUCAAGCCAUUCUUAAUUUUGUACCUGGUAUCUUAUCUAGUUUGGUCCUCAGCAAAGAGAGUUUACACAUUCACUGCAAGUGUCGAUUGUCAAGUGAUGCGACUUCACUUUCAAAGUGUGCAACUUCAGUGUGUUUGGGAAGUGCUGAAAGAAAUUAGUGUAGAAGUGGCAUAAACCUUCCUGCUUCGCUACUCAGAUCAUGCCACCCCGAACACUGUCUUCCCCUUCCUCACCCAAAACACUGGUUUGCCACAUCUCAAGAGUGGUGCUUUAAUCUAAUAGCAUCUAGGUUCAGAGCUGGGGAAGAGAUGCUUAGAGGUUCUUUCCAAGCCAGUUCUUCCAGGACUGAUGUUGUGCUGGAUCUCUCUUUGUAGAAAGAGCAAACAUCUCAGAUGGAGAGGAUAAACAGAAACGAUGAGCACUGUUUUUGUGACUGACCUCAAGAGUUGUUUGAUGCCAACAUUUCCUUCCUUCUUCUCUGCUCCAUAUACAGAUGACACAGUAUGCAAUAAUGUCAGAAGGAAUUUGGAAGACUCAAAGGCUGCAAACCUCACAGAUUUAUUUUAUUUUUUAUUCCUUGUAGUGCUUGCAUGCCUUUAAUAAAAAAGAAAAGCAGAAAAAAAUCAAUUACAAGCAGAAUAGAUUUCUCCUUUUAAAAACUCACAUCAACCUUGAAUUCUCUUCGCUCUGAGAAUAUCUGACCAUGAGAUCUCACUCAGUAGCUCCUUAAGCUUUUUGAGACUGGCCUUCUUCAGGUCCAGAGUGCAUUUCUGACUACACUCAGCUUUCCCUUGCCUCUAUCAUGAAACCCAGGAGAACAGGAUCACUUUCUCCCAAGGAAUGUUGUGUGUUAUACAGUGGUACCUUGGUUUUCAAACAGCUUAGUUCCCAAACAAUUCGGAACCCGAAUGCUACAAACCCAGAAAUAGGUGUUCUGGUUUUCGAACUUUGCCUCAGAAGCCGAACAUGCUCCUGAGUUUCCAUUUUCACUGUUGCACAGCUCAUUUGAGUCCCCCGCAUAGUAAUGAAGGUUUUUUCAUCCCAUGUUACCCUUGCACAACUAAUUUAAGUCCCCUCCCCAUCGUAAUUAAAGCUUUCCAUUUCUGAUUGGAGUAUUCUGAAGUGAUAUUUGGUGCUUUUGUUUUUGCUACUUUUUGCAUUUUUGUUUGUGUGGCUUUUUCAUUUUUGUGACUGUGGCUACAUCAAAGGAAUGUUUUUUGUUUUAUGAUUGAUUGAUUGAUUGAUUGAUUGAUUGUGUGACUGUGGAAAUGCAUAAAAGCCCCCCCCAUCCAAACAAUGGCUAUCAUCACUGCAGGUAAGAAAAUAAAAUAAUUUUAAUUUUUAUCAUUUACAAUACUGUUUGUUUGUUUGUUUGUUUGUUUGUUUUAUAGUACAGUGGUACCUCGGGUUAAGUACUUAAUUUGUUCCAGAGGUCCAUUCUUAACCUGAAGUACCACUUUAGCUAAUAGGGCCUCCCGCUGCUGCCACGCUGCCGGAGCACAAUUUCUGUUCCCAUCCUGAAGCAAAGUUCUUAACCUGAUGUAUUAUUUCAGGGUUAGCGGAGUCUGUAACCUGAAGCGUCUGUAGCCUGAAGCGUAUGUAACCCGAGGUACCACUGUACAGAAGAUUGAGUAUUGCUUUCAUUUUAUGGAUCAAUGGUCUUGUUAGAUAGUUUAAUCAAUGUUAAAUUUUUGUUUUAGGGGUUGUUUUUAAAAGUCUGGAACAGAUUAAUCCGUUUUGCAUUACUUUGUAUGGGAAAGUGCGCCUUGGUUUUGGAACGUUUUGGUUUUGGAACACACUUCUGGAACCGAUUAAGUUUGAGAACCAAGGUACCACUGUAUACAGAAACUGUCAACAAAACACCUGUGAGCAGCUAUACCAAUGAGAGGAACAGCAUCAUUUAGACCGACUUUUUAAAGAAUGAGGACAACGUGAACCAUUUCCUGGUUUCCUACUAUGAUUCAUUGGGCUGGAUUCUUUUGCCUUGCUUUCUGGGCAGCUGCUUACUCUGCACACACACCCAUUUAAAUAUACAUUGGCAUGACAUUCCCAGGACGGAGUGCUGUGGCCCAUCAGCAAACCUGGAUAAAAAAAGACAUUUACACCCUGUGUUAUACCCUCUAAUCCAAACACAGUCCAGAGUAUCAGAAGAGAGUGAACACAUUGCUGGGGAAGAAACAGCCUCCAUGUCUCUCUUCUGGAAGCAUCUGACUGGCUGUGUUUGGAAACAGGAUACUGAAUGUUUAGAGAAUCUAGAGAAUUUAGGGGGUGGGAUCCACCACCAAUCAUUGCUGCUACCCUGAUUUUCCGUUAGACAAAAUUUGGUGCAAUCCCUCAAACCCACAUGCUGUUUCACCUUUUGGGACUUUUUGCAAAUAUAUAUGUAUUCUACAUUCAUACCUAGUCUCAGUAAAUUAUUGCUGGAGGCUGUUCACAGUUUUUGUGCUAAACUGUGCUAAAUUAGCUUGGAGAGAGCACUAAAUGAAGCUUUAUGAUUUUACAUAUUUGAUGCUGUGCAGUUUAUAUAUUAUUCAGAUUUCUUUUGCCAUGAACUUACUUUUGAAAGAGACAUUAGGGGAUGAUUUCGUGGUUUGGAAUUUCUUAUUUCUGUAGCCCCCAUGGAGACACAGGACUAAACUAAGAUUUUUAUCUUCCUGGAAAUAAGGCUCAUGACUUUAAAUAAAACACUUUUUUUAACUCUUAUGUGCUACUUGCACUCAUGAAAAUAGUGUUCAGCAGCAUAUGGACAGGAAUGCCCAUGCAUGCUUUUUAUGUUAAGCCACUAGAAUGUUCCAUAUUGCUUCAGCCAUUUACAAAUUAAACUAAGGCACGGAAGAAUAGAAAUGGGUUGGAAAAGUCACAACACUAUGAAAGAGAUUAUAACUAAUUUACUAGCACAAUAUGUGACGUCCAUUCGAUGUGGCUGACUCAAGGGGUGUGAGUCACAUCUGAUUUCUCUCAUUGUGUCUCCUAGUUGGAUGUCCCCUGGCACUAGCCUCUUCCUGUGUUCUGUGUUUUAGGAGCCCCAUGAGAGUAGGUAAGGGGAGAUGCGGAACUGGUGGAGGCAGGGAGAUGGUUAUAUCAAAGUUCUUGCUCCCUCUCCUUCACCCAGUGUAUUUCAGAAUCUGGAAGUGCUGGUCAGCUGCCCCCCUGCUCUGGUGUUGUUAAAUGCCACAUCUGUUAUUAACGGGACCGACUUGGCAUUUACAGUGGUACCUCGGGUUACAUACGCUUCAGGUUACAGACUCCGCUAACCGAGAAAUAGUACCUCGGGUUAAGAACUUUGUUUCAGGAUGAGGACAUAAAUCGUGCUCCGGCGGCGCGGCAGCAGCAGGAGGCCCCAUUAGCUAAAGUGGUGCUUCAGGUUAAGAACAGUUUCAGGUUAAGAACGGACUUCCGGAACGAAUUAAGUACAUAACCAGAGGUACCACUGUAUAACUUGGACCUUGGCGGAUGAACUUAAGGGUCUUAUGCUGACCCAUUUGUGUCCACCUGUGCACUCAGAGUAGUGCCAUUCUAGGUCAAAUGCAAAAGGUGGAAACUUUGCAAAUAGGCUGAGGCGGGAAAAUCUGUUCACCUCACGUAUUUUAUAAUGUGUGUCGCCACUGAUUUCUUUUGAAGGGUUCCCAUUCCUCCACCACCAAAAAAGGGAAUGCAAUCUGUGUCUUCUUUUGCAGGUGGGUUGGGGUGUGCAGGGUCCGGAAAAUCCUGUUGGCAGCCCUGGCCAGGCUACCCUCAACCUGGUUUCUAUCCCAGAGUGAAGGGGUAAUACUCAGUUUCUUGGGGGUCUCAUUGUCAGUCCAUUAUGGUGAACAAAUCACUUCAUGGUGUGGUUUAGGCAGAACAUAGAUACUCUACCCUUUAGGGUAGGAGACCCAUUCAGAUGGUCCUCCCAUAGAGACUAGUGGAAUCUAAUGGAUCUAAGAAGACUCUGAGGGAUUUUUUACUUGAGAAGGCGGGUGACCAUGUCAAGGCUCUUGUCACACUGUGCAAUGGUGAGCUGCAUAGGGCCCCAACACACUUUCUCCUGAGUCCCUGUGGAGCAUGUACCUUGGUACCCUGGUGACCUGAUCGUGAUGAAACAGGAGGGUCAGUGACCAGAGCACAGGUGCCAUAAAUCUCAGUCCGAACCAGGCUGAACAUGGGUGAGGCUGCAUCACUGAAACUCUACCAGGUCCUUGUGGUCCCAGUGAAGAAAGGUGUCGCCUUUGUCACCAUUGUGUUCUCGUGUAGCCACCUGACAGAGCUUUUCUGAGUGGUGAGUGGACUUUGUCAUCUGGCCUGGUCUAGCAAUUUUGUGAGGCACUUGAGGGACAAGAUCACUCCUAUUUGCACAGAAUUAGAUGCCACGGGGCAAUGGAGGCAUCCAGAGCACUGUCUCUUCAAUAUAUUGUGCCCUGAAGGCAUGGACAAGCUGCCUGAAGUGUGGUUGACCAUCUGCCCCCUUGACCCUUGCAUAUCCUGGCUUUCUAGAGCAAGCCAAAGAAGAGUCAACAGAUGAGCCUAGGGAGUAAUUAACACUUCUUGGGAGGAGCAGGGAGUAGAAAGUAGAUGAUGGCACAUCUUCUCCUUAAGAGGAUCUUCCCAGAUCCAAAACAACUAUCACCCAGCGGCAUAUAUUCCCUUCCUAGGCAAUGUGCUUGAGAGGGUGGCGGCAGUCCAGCUUCAGGUGUGCUAGGAGGAAACUGAUUGUUUUGAUCCUUUCGAGUCUAGUUUCAUCCUGCUGAUUGUGUGUGUGUGUCCCUUGUUCCCCCGAUCUCUCACCUGCUCCCUGGAGUAUACUGGGAAGGUGGGGGUUGGGGGCACCAUACUUUAGUGGUUCUGCUUCUAUCCCCAGAGCCAUUUCUAGAAAGUAGUUCUGGGAGAGUUAGUGUUUGGCAUCAGGAGAGCCGCCCUCCUGCAGAGCUCCGUCUAGUGUCGGUAUGAAACCACUGAGUGCUGCCAUCAGAUGAUUUAGAGUGAGCUAUGCAUGUUCCGUAUGGUGGAAACAAUUAUGCAGAUCUCUUUUCCAGCUGGGGUCAGAAAGACACCCAUCCCUGUUGAACAUCUGAUACAGGUUUUUUAUCAUUGUAACUCACUUUUAGUCUUAUUUUAAUGGGUUCCCUGUACAUGGCUUAGAGAUGACAGUGAUUAAGUAGUAUACAAAUGAAUCAAAUAAAUAAAAUAAAUAAUAUGCAGAGGAUUCCCAGCUCUAUCUCUGUUCUAUGUGAAUUGGGAGAGCUGUUUGACAGGUCCUUGAAGGCCAAAAAUUGAAGAUGAAUCCUGAAAAGACAUUUGUGCUCUGUGUCCCAAGUCCCCAAGUCUGGGAGGUGAAGAGACAUGGUGUCCUGGAUGGGGUUGCAUUGCCCUGGAAGGAGCAGAUUGGUAGCUUAGUGGUGCAAAACCCUCCCUGGAGGCUCAGGUGGCCUCAGAAACUGUUAAAAUCAACUGUAACUAACAAGUGAGAAAAUAAAUGCAAAUUGCAUAUAUCUGUCUUUCCUAAACAAAAACAUUUUAAGCAGGCACUAAAAAAAUAUAUGCAGCAAUGUAAAACUGAAAGAAGGGAACACUGAAAAGAUCAGUUCCCUGGCUAUAAUGGCAGCUGCCUACUUUUCUUGACUCAAAACCAUAAGUUUAAGCCAAAGGGAGAGUCUAACCCUUCAAGGAAUGAGAGCUAACCAAAGAUGACCCUGAACUGUUUUGAAAUCAGAAGUUAAAUUUAAAAUCCAAUGGGAAGGAUAUAUUCUGGUGGUUCCAGUCCUGCAGCAUAUUGAUUUGUCAAAUUCAGCAACAAAACUCAACAAAAGAGGAACACACAUUUGCUGUAAUUUUUUUUUACUGUUCUCAUAACUCAGUGAACCACUAAAAGGAGGCGAAUCAAUGAACUUGAGUGAGCUGAACCUGAAAAACAAUGCAACCAACCAAUCAAUUCAUUUUAUUUUAGUUUCUAAAUGGAUUUUGUGUAUUUUUCUUGUUCUCUUUAUGUUUACUGACAAAUCAUCAUUUUCCAUUCAUGAUGAAUAAUUGCAGUCCCUGAUCCCUACCACAAAUGGGGUUCAGUGGGCUAUCUGCACCUCAGUGUUUUAGCUGCAGAAUCCAUUACAUUUCAAAGGGUGAUCAAGCCCCUGAAAUAGAUGUUUUUGGCCCGUAGACUAUUUGGGGCUGUUGUUGAAACAAGAGAAUACUGGGGUUUUCUUACUUUUAGCAUGUUUCUUCUAUAUAAUAGCAUGCAAAUUUUUACUAAGAAAUACACAUAUGUCAACUUUCUUUUAUAUUCAGUGCUGGUUUAGGAACAGUAUUAUCCAUGUCUUUAAAGUCUCCUUUGCUGUUUGGAUGGGCAGCCUGCGGGUGUUUGAGGGUCUGAUCUGUGCCUUGGAAGUCAUUUAGCUGCCCCAUCCCAACCCCAACUUCAGAAGUAGGGUAAAUACUUAAUGCACAUUGUGCCCAGGACCAACCUGCACAUCCAUGCCUCCAAAGCCCUUCCAACUGGGGUGCAGCUAAUAGCUCAGGAGUUUAAAGGGUAGCUUUGCUGUCAGUCAGAAAUUUCUAUUUAGAGUGAUCAUUUAAACUUUGAAAGCCCUGUCCCAGAGUGGCCUGAUGCUGAGGGAACAGGCCCCAUCCCUAGGGCAGAAUGACAGGCGAGCAUGUGGAGCUGAGCACAAUACAUGCUCAGGAGUCCUAGGAACUCGUGUAAGAUGAAAAAGUAAAGUUUCUGCCUCCCAUAAUUAUGUUUGUUUAUGAACAGCAUUCAGCCAUUUGAGUUCCACCUCUAGUCCCAACAUCCAGGAGCCCCAGCAUGUGUGAUCAGGGGGAAUGAGAAUUUUAUUCCAACAUUACCUCAGGGCACCUCUCCAGCUGCCCCUGUCAACUAUGGCUAGCCCUUUUAGGGUUACCUGAAUAGCGACAAAGGCUUGGAUGAGAGAUCAUGAGGCUGUGCAACCCCAACUGAAUGAAAUACAAAAUAACAAAAUACAGUGGGAGGGAAGGGAAGGGAAGAAAGAAGGGAAGGGAAAGGAAAGGAAAGGAAGGGAAGGGAAGGGAAGGGAAGGGAAGGGAAGGGAAGGGAAGGGAAACCAAGCUGUUUGGGGUUAUUCCAAGACUGAACUAGAUUGGAACCAUCUAGGUGGCAAGAGAGUAGAGGACUGAACCCUUCUGCCAGGGGAGACCUGCUAGACCAGAGCAGCCCAAGCCAUUUUGCUGCCUGAGGCGAAGGGCAAGAUAGUGCAUUCCCCAUUCUGUGCACAAAAUUGGAUUAGACCGGUAGUUGACUCUUACAUCAGCACCAGUGAUGGAACAGAGUCCUCCACUGUACCCUUGGGCUAGAAGCUAGCUUAGGGGCUGCAGGGCAGACCACAAGGCAGACCACAAGGCACACGUUUCCAGUCACUUUCCACCCUUCAGAAUUUGCUGCCUGAGGCAACUGCCUGAUUCUGCCUCAUGGCAGGGUCAGCCCUGCUGCUAGUCGUUAUAAGCUUAACGAGUGCCACUAUUUUUAUUGGGGGUGGCCAUGCCUCAGACAUAGAGCUUCCUUGUUGCUUUUGUUUUUAAAAAGCAAACACACAAAUAAAUUGGGAGCCCUUAAGUGGGGCAAAUCAAGAAGUUCCUGGGAUUGUGUCAGGUGGGAGAGAAAGAGAGAUGUACGCUCUGCAGGUCUCACAUUGGUGUGUAUAUGUAGCUAGUGAGAGUUUCUCACAGAUCCCUUUGAAAUGAGGCAAGCGAAUGCAGAUUUGUCCAGGAAAAUUCGAGCUCUUGCUUGAUGUAGACGUUCAGGCUCCAUGAGGAUUUUAUGGGGUCGGAAGUGCUAGGGUUAUGCAUCCAUCAUAACAUACUUACUCAGUAUGCUCUUUUUCUACAGAAAUAAGCUUUCAAACAAGAGCCCAGUGUUCUAAGGGGUUUUUGUCAACCAUCUCCAGGAGCUUCUGCAUUGCUUUUGUGAUAUAGUUUGUCAAAAUGAAAAAACUGUUACCCAAACAAACCAAAAGAGCAAAUGUAAUUGCUUUCAAAACUGCAAAAAAAUAAUAAUACUUUUUUUUCUUUUUAAAGGGACAGUUUACUUAGCUGUAAAUUGAAUGGAUGGAAUGGAAAAAGUCAACAUUUCUUCAAGAAAUGUUCCUUUUGUGAUCAUGAUAAAUAGAAAAAUCAUAUUCCAUCUACGCUGAAAUCUUUGUUUUCAAGAGGAAGUUGAUGUAGAUCUAAUACUAGUUUGCUACUAUUACAGUUUACAUGUCCUUGACAAUUAUGUGUCGCUAGGCCUCUGUGUAAAGCCAGCAUGAUUUUUUUUGUCUCAAUCACUAGUGCAGAAGGUAUUUGAAAAACAGCUGGAUGAUUUCCAGAUACAAGACACCAUUGAUUUUUCAAAAAUUCCAUAAAUACAACAUGCUGUUUACUGACAAAACCAGUGUACAGCGCUGAAAGAAAUCACAAUAACAAAAUGAAACGCCCUUUUGAAAUCUAAGCUGUCAUAUUCCUCUUUAUAAGCAGUUUAUGAGCACCUUCAGGGCACGAAAAAACCUAUGGUAUACAGUGGUAUCUCGGGUUGCAUACGCUUCAGGUUAAAUACGCUUCAGGUUACAGACUCCGCUAACCCAGAAAUAGUGCUUCAGGUUAAGAACUUUGCUUCAGGAUGAGAACAGAAAUCGUGCUCUGGCAGCGAGAGGCCCCAUUAGCUAAAGUGGUGCUUCAGGUUAAGAACAGUUUCAGAUUAAGUACGGACCUCCGGAACGAAUUAAGUACUUAACCUGUAUUUACAAUUUUAUAUUGACUAAAACCUAGUACUUUGGGGUAGGGUGGGGAGAGAACAAGUACAGUAGUACCUCGGGUUAAGAACUUAAUUCCUUCUGGAGGUCUCUUCUUAACCUGAAACUGUUCUUAACCUUAAGCACCACUUUAGCUAAUGGGGCCUCCUGCUGCUGCCGUGCCGCUGGAGCACGAUUUCUGUUCUCAUCCUGAAGCAAAGUUCUUAACCCGAGGUACUAUUUCUGGGUUAGCAGAGUCUGUAACCUGAAGUGUAUGUAACCUGAAGCGUAUUUAACCCGAGGCACCCCUGUAAUGUGUUUUACCACUCUAAAAAUAAACAUUUCCUAUUCACUGCCCAGCUACAUUUUCUCUAUGUGAUAGCAUUCUCUUUUUGUCAGAUGACAGCAUGACGGUUCCUAAUUAUUUUCACCUCAUUUUUUAAUAUGAAAUUCUAGUAAUCAGGAGCAAAUGUUCUGGAUCCCACUUAGAACCUGAAGGUAUAGAAAGCUUCCCUGGGAAUGUUUUAUGAUAACGGAUACCAUUAGUUUUUACCAAAACCGAUACCAGCUAGGAUAGAGAUUUUAGAAGACUUCAGCUGCUGAAAAGGCAAUGGAGGAAGUGCCUAUUUGGUAUGUGGUAGGAGGCAAUUCAAAGGGCUAUGCACCACCAAACUGAAGGCCCAAUGUUGAAGUUGAGCAGAAAGGAGCUCCCGGUAGGAUGGGAUCUGCAGGAUGCCUUCUCUGGCAGAACGCAGGGAUCACUGGGAUCCAUUGGAGACAAGGCCUCCUUUCAGGCACCCUGCUCUCAAGCUCUGUAGGGCUUUGUAUACCAGUACCAGCCCCUUGAAGUAAAAUGGCAGCCAGUGACAUUCUUUGAGCAGCAGGAUGGCAAGGAGGUUCUGGAUAUAACCGGGUAUACACUGGCUUAACUCCCUCAUCCUUGACUUAACCACAGAUACACUGGCAUAUUUUCCCCUUAUCAAUCCAGUUGUCUGAUCUGAACCCGGCAGGUCUUAAGCUGGCAUAAGCCCAGAAAAGGGGGGGGGAGUGGCACCAGAGAGGGGGGACUUAGGUUAGAUCCUCAUCCCAUCCAAGUUGGGACAUGACUGGUGUCGCUUAAAUUGACAAAAAAGGGUGUGGUAACCCAAACUAUAUUUUAAAGGCUUGUUUUCCUUCUGCCAGUCAUAGGCUGGCUCUGCACCAGUAGCCCUGCUCUGGAUCUGGUGCAACUUCAUGCUGCCUUAAUUUAGACCGGCUUGUUUUGCACCAGCUUCUUGUGUUUGUUCCCUUAAAUAAGCAUCCUAGCAUUUUAAUCAGCCAUGGCUUCCCUCGAAGAAUCCUGGUAACUGUCGUUGGAUGAAGGUGCUGAGAGUUGCUAGGAGACGCCUGUUGCCCUCCAAGCUACCACUCUCAGCACCCUUCAGUUACUGCAGCACUCUUUGGGGAGCCCAUGACAGUUUAAAGUGGCAAGGGACUGCUUCAGAAUUUAAAGUGCAGACAGGACAUGACACACCAAAGGCAUGGAAGCCAGCCAAGGGAAAGCAGAUAUUCCCCAUUUAUCCUCCUCAGUCGUUGCCUCACCAUUUUCUGCAAACCAGUAAAAAAAAGCACAAUUUCUGUAUGUAUGUCUGUAUGGCUGUUGUUCUUUACAAUGCUCAAUUGCUAUGGAAAAACACAGUAUCUUCACAAAUUCAAAACACAUGUUAUUACAUUACAUAUGUGUCAGGGAACUGACAUCGGAGCCAGAGGCGGAGGCUAGGCUCUCAAGCGAUGCUGGAGAAGGGCCCAGCAGGGGGAGAGGCAGCUCACCAGCUGGGGAAGGAAAUCAGCGUAACACGAGAGAUAAAGGGGGGCAGAUGGGGGAAUCAGCGAGGGGGCUUCAGGACUCCUCGCCAGAGACCAGCAAGGUGAGCACGGGUCCUCCGCUACCCACUCUCCGCGCAGGGAGAGUAGGAGGAGACUUGGGGUCAAACAGCUUUUAUGCUGGAAAAGGUUUAAGAAACGCCCACUGAUGGAUUCUGCUAGCGACUGAGCAGCCACGAAGUGAAGGGCUGUCCAGACAGAAAAGGUUUAACAAGGCAACCUAGCCAGGAGUGGCACCAACUUACGCACGAGCAACCCCGACAUUUAUUACAAUAUGAAAGAAAUUGAUAGUGACUAGGAUAUUAUAUCAAUGUGCUGCUGAAACCCAAUGAACAGGUUUCCUAUUUUCGUAUAGUUUGUUUUAUCUUUUAAGGUAGUGCAUUCUAAGUGAUAUAAUUAUUUCCCUCAUUAAGUGGGUUAAGCUGGAGCUGUGAAUGUGACAGAAUUCUAAUGAAUUUUGAUUUUCAGGACAGAGCACAGCAAUUGGACCCUUUUCUCUCUGUGCAUUUUCCGACUUGUUUUCUUUCAAUCCUGAGUUCUUCUCCUUUGUAUACAUGGUAUUGUGUGACAAAAAUUAGCCACCUUUCUACUGAAAGAACAGCAGCAUGAUUUUAAAAAUCUUAACCCUAAUAUUACUGAAAUGAGUAUUAUGCUCUUGUCAUGAUUUCCUCUUGUUGAAUGCCUAAAAUAGAUCCUAUAGGGAGUUCUUUAAACCUUACACAUUUGCGACAAGUAGGGUGGGGAUGCGGGUGGCUCUGUGGUCUAAACCACAGAGCCUAGGGCUUGCCGAUCAGAAGGUCGGCGGUUUGAAUCCCCGCGACGGGGUGAGCUCCCGUUUCUCGGUCCCUGCUCCUGCCAACCUAGCAGAUCAAAAGCACAUCCAAGUGCAAGUAGAUAAGUAGGUACCGCUCCAGUGGGAAAGUAAACGGCAUUUCCAUGCGUUGCUCUGGUUCGCCAGAAGCGGCUUAGUCAUGCUGGCCACAUGACCCGGAAGCUGUACGCCGGCUCCCUCGGCAAAUAAAGCGAGAUAAGCGCCACAACCUCAGAGUCAGCCACGACUGGACCUAAUGGUCAGGGGUCCCUUUACCUUUUACCUUUUUACAAAUAGGGUAGACAACUGCAGAUUAUUAUUUUUAAGUCUGGUAUCUUGGUGUGACCAAGAGCAAAUUUGUCAGUACCAUACAGGGUAGCAGGAGUAACAGCUGGCACAUCUGGCACUCUUAGGCUGCUCUGCCCCUCCAUCACCACACACACGGUUAACUUUCCAAAUGCUAGCAUAGUCUGAGAGUCUUUUUAAGCUUGGGAAUUUUGAACUAAGGUUUUCAGUCUUGACUAGGAUGGCACAAGAGCUGUGGCCGUGUGGAAUGCAUCUAAUAUGCUGAGCCAUCAUGGUGUCAUGGUGCUAGUCUAAACAUCACCUCUAAACUUUUGUUUCCAAAUGCUUUUGCUCUAGAUUUAUUAUGAAAAAUUAAAUUGUCCUUCUACCUGAAAUUAACAUUUUAAAAACAUUUUAAACAUUCUUUUUACCAUGGGGUUUUGGGGUGAGGCAGGAUGAAGUUGUUUCAAAUGGCAUCUAAUUGUGGGGGCAGCCAGCUUCCUCACCACCAGAGGUGCAUAGACAAUUAGAAGUAUGUAUGUCUCAGUCCCAUGAACUUUUUAUAAUGUUAAAACCAAAUCCUUUAAACCACACAGGAAGAGAGGCAGCUGACAUGAACCAGGUUGAAUAUGCUCAUGCUUCCCAAGAUUUGUUGGAAAGAAUGCAGCAGCCUUCUUCAUUAACUGCAACUUCUGCAUAAUCUUCAAGAGCAACCUGAAUCGUAAUAGCAAGGAUGAAUCUGUGUGUUAGGGUGAUGUCUUCAUAAUCUGGUGACAUAGUCCUUUGCUUCCCAGUUACCAGUUUCCCAAAAUGCAGAUUUUGACUGAGCAUUAGUAUGUCUCAGGGUUUUAAAAUAUAUAUUAUUGCAACUCAACUAUAUAUUUUCAUUAUUAACAAUAUAUAUCUACAGGAGCUAAAGAAUUUUAAAAUAAAAUAAAUUAGACCAAAGCUCAUUUCAAAUGUGAGACCAUGGUUGGUGUUCUAUGCAAUGUUCUGUUGUGCGCCAUUUGCCUUCAGUUCUCACAUGUAAUCCUGGCAACCUUUUUCAGAUCUUUUCACAUUCCAGAAUUUGACACCCCAAGUGCAACAGAUUGAGCAACAGUAAAAAUGAUUCUAUCAAGAAGGGAAUUAGUAAAGACCAGAACCUAUUAACCCCCUUCGUGGAUCACUGCCUUGCCGUGGCGAAGGGGCUUGAAGAACUCAGAGAAGCUAUGAACUAUGCCGAGCAGGGCACCCAAGAUGAACAGGUCAUAGUGGAGAGUUUUGACCAAACGUGAUCCACCUGGAGUAGGAACUGGCAAGCCACUCCAGUAUCCCUGCCAAGAAAACUCCAUGGACAAAGACAACAGGCAUAUAAAAGUUAUGACGCUGGAAGAUGAGCCCCUCAGGUCGGAAGGUGUCCAACAUGCUACUGGGGAAGAGCGGAGGACAAGUACAAGUAGAUCCAGAGCUGAUGAAGCGGCUGGGCCAAAGCCGAAAGGACGCUCAGUUGUGGAUAUGCAUGGAAGCGAAAGGAAAGUCCAAUGCUGUAAAGAAAAAUAUUGCAUAGGAACCUGGAAUGUAAGAACCAUGAACCUGGGUAAGUUGGAUGUGGUCAAAAAUGAGAUGGCAAGAAUAAAUAUUGACAUCCUGGGCAUCAGUGAGCUAAAAUGGACGGGAAUGGGCGAAUUCAGUUCGGAUGACUAUCAUAUCUACUACUGUGGGCAAGAAAUCCGUAAAAGAAAUGGAGUGGCCCUCAUAGUCAACAAAAGAGUGGCGAAAGCUGUACUGGGAUGCAGUCUCAAAAAUGAUAGAAUGAUCUCGAUACGAAUCCAAGGCAGACCUUUUAACAUCACAGUAAUCCAAGUUUAUGCACCAACUACUGGUGCUGAAGAAACUGAAAUUGACCAAUUCUAUGAAGACUUACAAGACCUUAUAGAAGUGACACCAAAGAAGGAUGUUCUUCUCAUUAUAGGGGAUUGGAAUGCUAAAGUAGGGAAUCAAGAGAUAAAAGGAACAACUGGCAAGUUUGGCCUUGGAGAUCAAAAUGAAGCAGGGCAAAGGCUAAUAGAGUUCUGUCAAGAGAACAAGCUGGUCAUCACAAACACGCUUUUCCAACAACACAAGAGACGACUCUACACAUGGACAUCACCAGAUGGGCAACAUCGAAAUCAGAUUGAUUAUAUUCUCUGCAGCCAAAGAUGGAGAAGCUCUAUACAGUCAGCAAAAACAAGACCUGGAGCUGACUGUGGCUCAGAUCAUCAGCUUCUUAUAGCAAAAUUCAAGCUUAAACUGAAGAAAGUAGGAAAACCACUGGGCCGGUAAGAUACAAUCUAAAUCAAAUCCCUUAUGAAUACACAGUGGAAGUGAGGAACAGGUUUAAGGAUUUAGAUUUGCUGGACAGAGUGCCUGAAGAACUAUGGGUGGAGGCUCGCAACAUUAUACAGGAGGCAGCAACUAAAACCAUCCCAAUGGAAAAGAAAUGCAAGAAAGCAAAGUGGCUGUCCAACGAGGCCUUACAAAUAGCGGGGAAGAGAAGGCAAGCAAAAUGCGAGGGAGAUAGUGAAAGAUACAGGAAAUUGAAUGCAGAUUUCCAAAGAAUAGCAAGGAGAGACAAGAAGGCCUUCUUAAACGAGCAAUGCAAAGAAAUAGAGGAAAACAACAGAAUGGGAAGAACCAGAGAUCUGUUCAAGAAAAUCGGAAAUAUGAAAGGAACAUUUCGUACAAAGAUUACCAUAAUAAAGGACAAAAGUGGUAAAGACCUAACUGAAGCAGAAGACAUCAAGAAGAGGUGGCAAGAAUACACAGAGGAAUUAUACCAGAAAGAUAUGGAUGUCUCGUACACCCCAGGUAGUGUGGUUGCUGACCUUGAGCCAGACAUCCUGGAGAGUGAAGUCAAAUGGGCCUUAGAAAGCACUGCAAAUAACAAGGCCAGUGGAAGUGAUGGUAUUCCAGCUGAACUGUUUAAAAUUUUAAAAGAUGAUGCUGUUAAGGUGCUACACUCAAUAUGCCAGCAAGUUUGGAAAACUCAGCAGUGGCCAGAGGAUUGGAGAAGAUCAGUCUACAUCCCAAUCCCAAAGAAAGGCAGUGCCAAAGAAUGCUCCAACUACCGCACAAUUUCACUCAUUUCACAUGCUAGCAAGGUUAUGCUUAAAAUUCUACAAGGAAGGCUCAAGCAGUAUGUGGACCGAGAACUCCCAGAAGUGCAAGCUGGAUUUAGAAGAGGCAGAGGAACCAGAGACCAAAUUGCAAACAUGCGCUGGAUUAUGGAGAAAGCUAGAGAGUUCCAGAAAGACAUCUACUUCUGCUUCAUUGACUAUGCAAAAGCCUUUGACUGUGUCGACCACAGCAAACUAUGGCAAGUUCUUAAAGAAAUGGGAGUGCCUGAUCACCUCAUCUGUCUCCUGAGAAAUCUCUACGUGGGACAAGAAGCUACAGUUAGAACUGGAUAUGGAACAACUGAUUGGUUCAAAAUUGGGAAAGGAGUACGGCAAGGCUGUAUAUUGUCUCCUGCUUAUUUAACUUAUAUGCAGAAUUCAUCAUGCGAAAGGCUGGGCUGGAUGAAUCCUAAGCCGGAAUUAAGAUUGCUGGAAGAAAUAUCAACAACCUCAGAUAUGCAGAUGACACAACCUUGAUGGCAGAAAGUGAAGAGGAAUUAAAGAACCUUUUAAUGAGGGUGAAAGAGGAGAGCGCAAAAUAUGGUCUGAAGCUCAACAUCAAAAACGAAGAUCAUGGCCACUGGGCCCAUCACCUCCUGGCAAAUAGAAGGGGAAGAAAUGGAGGCAGUGAGAGAUUUUACUUUCUUGGGCUCCAUGAUCACUGCAGAUGGUGACAGCAGUCACGAAAUUAAAAGACGCCUGCUCCUUGGGAGAAAGGCGAUGGCAAACCUAGACAACAUCUUAAAAGCAGAGACAUCACCUUGCCAACAAAGGUCCGUAUAGUAAAAGCCAUGGUUUUCCCAGUAGUGAUGUAUGGAAGUGAGAGCUGGACCAUAAAGAAGGCUGAUCGCCGAAGAAUUGAUGCUUUUGAAUUAUGGUGCUGGAGGAGACUCUUGAGAGUCCCAUGGACUGCAAGAAGAUCAAACCUCUCCAUUCUGAAGGAAAUCAGCCCUGAGUGCUCACUGGAAGGACAGAUCCUGAAGCUGAGGCUCCAAUACUUUGGCCACCUCAUGAGAAGAGAAGACUCCCUGGAAAAGACCCUGAUGUUGGGAAAGAUGGAGGGCACAAGGAGAAGGGGACGACAGAGAAUGAGAUGGUUGGAUGGUGUUCUUGAAGCUACCAGCAUGAGUUUGAUCAAACUGCGGGAGGCAGUGGAGGACAGAAGUGCCUGGCGUGCUCUGGUCCAUGGGGUCACGAAGAGUCGGACACGACUAAACGACUAAACAACAACAACAAGAACCUAUUAACAGUACACUCAUAAAAGAGUUAAAAGAUUUUUUUAUUAUUCUAAAAGCAUGCAUGAGAACACAUGGAAAAGCUAGGAUGCAGCAAAAUUGGUUAGGCAAAAAGUGGCAGGCGCAUGUCUGAAUGAGGGGAAGCGGGAGAGUAAAGAGAGUGAAUUUGGUAUCAGAACAAAAAUGGAUGCGACAAGAGUUGGGGUGUGUGUUCGUGUUAGUUUUCCUUACACUUAUUAUUCAUGUUUUACUUCCAGUUAAUUUAUGAACAUUUUCCAUGUCUGCAGAGUCAGCUAAUAACUGAUGCACGCCACCCCUUUCUCCAGGCCGUGGGAGACUUACGCAGGAUUUGUGUUUCCAUUGGAAAUGAGGCACAGCAGAGACUGUGGCGUCUUUAUGCUUCCUUUAUAUACAACCUGAGCUGACUGUGGAGGGGCCCAAAGCAAUACACCCAAGAGAGUCUCUUGCUUCUCUUGCAAAACUCCACCCUCCUGGCUUUUCAUCUUACUCGAAAACCCAGGGCUCAGUGAGGGGCGUCCCCCAUCCAGCUGCCUGGCACUUUUGUCAGGUUAGGGCCUUGGCUGACCUCAGGCUUUGUUCCCCAAAAGACCCACACUCACCAGGCUGCCCUGGCUUACAUUUUAACAUAGGCUGCAUCCAGUGCUUCACUGUUUGGCACAGCUUAGCUCUCUAAACCUUGAUUAAUUCAAACUUUUAUUGGACUGAGGAAUUUAGGGUGUCUCUCACCCCACAGACUCAUGACAUAACUAAGGUGAGCCAUUCUAUGCACAAGGAGCUGGCAUAAAGCAAGCUGGUGUAAGCUGAGCUGACGUGAUGUUAUACCAGAUCCAGUUAUACGGCAGUGUGGCAUAACGGUUAGAGUGUUGGACUAUGGCCUGGGAGAGACCAGGGUUUGGAUCCCCACUCAGCCAUGAAGCCCACCGGGUAACCUUGAGCCAGACACCAUCUCUUAGCCUGUCCGACCUCACAGGGUUGUUGUGAGGAUGAAAUGGGGAGGGAGAGAACCAUGUACAGCACCUUGAGCUCCUUGGAGUUUAUUUAAAGGUUGUAUUUAGCCAUGGGGCUGACAUGAGCAGGGUAUGGCAGCAUAUCCUUCGCCAAGCCAGGUUUGGGGACUUAAUGCCGACUGAGUCAGAGAUCUGUGGCAUCCUAAACUGCUCAUCCUGGUAGAUUUUACCAAAGGAUUGCCCUCUUAUUCCCCCUUGUAUUGUCUUUUAAUAAAAGCAAUUUCCUACAAGCCAUUAUUUUCAAUUGUUGCUUUCAUACUACAACAUCUAGCACAUCAUAUGUUAUACUCAUGUCAAAAUACUGUUUGUGCUUCAUCCAACUUAUGACAGAAACUUUUUCUCUUCAAAAGAAGUUGGUUCACUUUCCAUGCAAAAGUUGUACGUUGCCUUUCACUCAGUUCAUGCACGAUGGACACUGCUGAGCUGGGAUAGUAAUAAGCUCAAUCACUGCUUCCUUAAGCAAGAAAUAAAAAUUGGAAUCAGGCCCAGCAUAGGGGUCAUCUUCUCUGAAUAUUAUGUAAACCUCUCCUGUUUGUUUUCCCCUCUCCAUAUGUCUAUCAAAUCUGCUUCCUCUAUUAAAUCCUUAAAUAUGAAACAGAGAGAUGCUUCUUAGACCUCCCUUUCCUAUCCUCUUUGUUGUCCAUACAAAUGUUGAGAUCCCCUCCUAGGAUCAAAAUUCAUUUUUAAAAAUGUCUAGUUUUCUCAAAGCAAUAUCUAUAUAAGAAUUAUUCUCUUGGUGAAGUUUUCCACUAAUGAAAAUAUAACAACCACCUGAGGCUUUUUUCAAUAGCCUCCAGUCCACCUUUUCCAUUAAAAAAUAGCCUGCCCCACUCCCAAAUUUAAAGCUACCCUCUACCAAAUAUGUGUGCUCAGUCCAUGUGUCCAUAUGUAGUUGUUUUGCCAUAGUUGUUUUCCUUUAAAAAUAAAUAUACCAGCUUAUCUAUUUUGCAAACAUUCAAGACAUGGUUUCUAAAAUGGGUUACACAGCCCUCUAAUGUUACGGUAAGUGAUUUGACUUUAAGUGCACUCAUUUCCACUAGUUCACAUUUCAAACUGUCUUUUACUCAUUGUCACACAAGCCUGAUGUCUUUGCAGAGCCUGAUACCUGCUUUUACAAACAAAACCUAUGAAAUCAGAGCUCUAGUUUGCAUCAUGUAAACCUGCCUCUUCCUGGUUCAGGGGCAUUAUUUAAGCCCUCCCCACUGGCUUAGCAGAGACAAAGUGGAGUUGGCUGUUAAACAAAGUGUGAGUCUGUUAAACUCAGUAAACUGACCAGAAGGGCAAAAAAAAUAAUUUAAAAAAUUGAUUUCUUUUUGGAUGCAAGGCUGCACCAAUGGGAGAAACAGGACCCUCUUGGAGUGUAAUCCAUCAAGUUGCAUACUGUGUAUUUGUAAAUAAGCCGUAUAUCAUAAAGACACCACAGUCUCUGCUGCACCUUAUUUCCAAAGGAAACAAGAACCUUGGAAUCUUGCACAACUCAGAGAUUGGGGGGACAUCAAACAAAGUUAUAUGAAAACACACAAACACACACACACGUUUGCCUAUGGUAUGCCUAGCAGUGAAACAUGUUGGAAAAAGAAAUAACAUUGUUUAACCUUUCCUUUUAAAAAUGCAGAAUCUUGUUGGCCAAGCCUCCUGUAUGCGUGCAAAACUGUGUUUUUGUUCCAGACAAAGGGAGAGAGUCAAGUGGCUUCUUUCAGUCUUCAUUUAAAAAGCACAUCUCCAAACUGCUUAAAAUAUGUUGGACGAAAGGGGGCAAAAUAGAUUCUUCAAUAAACUUGACUUUACACAUCUGUGAUAUUAGAUGAAAGGAACUAGUAAAAAGGUAAGCAACAAAUCUUCUUAAAGGUAGAUAGAGGGACAACAUCCAAUCAUUCUUUUUUAUUACCGUUCAAAGAAAGAUAAUGAAAAACCAUCCAUUUUUGGACUACCAGACAACCUUGUGAAACUUGUGUAAAUAAAAGAGAAUUGUCAGUGUUACAAUAAAUCCAAGUGUCACCAAUAUAACAAUGAUAAUUAAGCCCACAGUGAGUUAUGACCCUCACUUGCCUCAGGCUUCAUAAGCCAGCCAGGAAGUCUGUAAAAUACACUUUAAACAAAUCUCCAAGGUUUGUAAGAUUAGCUAGGGCUGCUUAGGAAACAAAGCAAUUAAACAAACCUCAGCGCUUGAAAGACUCUCAUGGCUUCCUUCUGACAGUAUGACACUUAAAGUAAGGCAUGCGUCUAGUUCUUUUGCAGUGGUAGCUGCUGACAUUAUCUGCACCUUCCAGUUCCUAAAAAAAGAGUUGAGCCAAGCUAGAGCCACAGUUUCCUGGUACUGUAUGUGUUGUUUGGGACAAACAUAAGUCUUCCUGCUUCAUGGACCCUUCUAUGAAGCCAGGAAGCAGAUGUGUACGAGAGAGAGUUUACUUUGCUAACCCAGAUUUGGCCUAGACAAUAGAAACAAAUAUAGAAUCAUAGAAUUGUAGAGCUGGCAGCGACCACGAGGGUCAUCUAAACCAGCCCCCUGCAAUGUAGUAAUAUUUGUGCCCAACAUGGGGCUCAAACCCCUGACCCUCAGAGUAUGAGUGCCAUGCUCUACUGACUGAGCUAUUGCCGCACCUUGUAAAAUCUGUAAGACGGUGAGAUAGGUGCAGCUGGUAUCUAGUCAUUACGACAGACCGUUUUAAAAAUAUCAUUGGACAUACUUAAAAUAGAUCUUUGUAUUUCAGCUGGCACAUGUACCGGUACCUUGAGGCAGAUCCCCACCCCUUUGUAAAUUGCUUAGAAACUGGAGUGAAACUCUUGUCAGCAGGGAAUGCAAAUUUACCUGAUGCAUCAACAAGGUAAAGUAAUUGCUAAAAUCAGCCUAACCUUUCCCUCAGAGAGGAUUGGUCAUACUUUGUGGGCUCCCUGUGAGCCUGUGGUCAUAGAAGGGCCAUUCUGGAUGAGGUUUGGGUGAAUGCUACUCUGCUCUGCAAGAGUGGGGCACCCUUUGAGUUGGCCCUUUCUUGCAGAUGGAAGGAAUCAGUCUGGAUGAUUUUCCAGCUGACUGGACUGGUGGUCCAGUGGAGGCUCUUGCCUCACUGUGGAAUGGGGAGAUGCACAGAGUCACUGGCACAGUCAUUCCUAGGCAGCCCCACCUUUGUCAUGGAUCCCCUUGGUAUUCUAGAGACCUGUGUGGGAUGAGACAGAUGGGUCAUGACUGAAACAGGUGAGGGUGCACCAGCAUGCCUACCAGGUGAUGGUGGCAGCAACGAGAAAGCUCACUUCCCUGUCCCCAUUGCACCCACAAGUAGCCAUCCCACAGAGCUUUUCUGAGUGGCGAAUGGACUUUUGCCAGCUAGUCAAGAGAGCAUUGCUCUGACACCAUCAGAGAGAGGCCUGCUAUAACAACUUUGCAAGGGAUAAAAUCAUUCAACCUGUGACUCGGAUGUCACAGUUAGAGCAAGCCCAGUGGUGGGGUCUAGAGCUCCUUCUCCUCUUUAGGUCUGCCCCAUCUAUACCGAAUCAGUUUAGAUUAUUGCUGCCUGAGGAUGUGAACGAGCUGCUUGGAGAAGUGUGGCCGACCCCUUGCCUCCUGGAUCCUUGCCCAUCUUCGCUCCUUAGCCCUGGCCAAACAGAAUUGACUGGGUAGGUCCAGGGAGAGAUGGAGGCUUCACUGGAGAAGGGGAGUUACACUUGCCUUGAAGGGGCUGGUGUUGUGUCCCCCUCUUAAGAGGAUCUCCACUGCAACUGAGAAAUCAUAUGCUUAGCACUCAUGGAAAUCCACUAUUCAUUUUACUUUUAGAAUCAGAUUAAUGAUAAUGUAGAAAUAUAUUAAUGAGCCUUUCACACAGAAGACAAAUUAAGAAACGCUGUAGGUCGACAGUGGUAACCUACACCAAACAUUAUCUGGUAUGAAAGGCAGACUCACAAAAUGAAGACAUAAGAGAAUGCUGUUCAGAUCAGGCAGACAGACUAAGGCAAAGAAUAGGUGAGAAAUCAAAGACUUGCAAUUGGCUACAGUGCAUAGAAUAAAACAACUAUGUUCCGUAAAAUCUCAGACAGUAAAUUGGUUCACAUGAGCUCUCUCUUUGUAUAAUGCUAACCUGCUGCUGAAAUAAGGAUUUCCUGAGUGCAGGUAAAGCAGAAUCUCAGACAAUGACAUUAUGGAACACAAUGAGGACAUAUAACAGCACAACCAGCAAAAGAUAGCCAGAGCUUCUAGGGUGGUGGAGCACUGAACAGCAAAGGGGCUUUUAUCUGGGCUCAGCUCAUUUAACCCAGCAAAAGAGGCUUCGAUAGUGAUCUAAUCCCAUUAAUUUCCAUAUAGCAGAUUGCAGACUGUUAUUUAACACACAUAAAAGGUGAAAAAUGGAAAGCAAGGAAGGAACCCUUUUAACACUAUGAUUUCUCAGAAUUAGAAUAUUAAAGAAAGCUAGUUUUAAAAGUGCCUGUACAUUUCAUGGGUUUUCCUCCCACUAUCACAAACUCCUGAUUUCCUCAAGCUGUAGGAACUUCCAGGAUGCUGUUUUUGGGUCUGUUUCCUUCGGAGGAGAAAAGAGCAGAGAUUUGUGGUGGGUUUUUGUUUUUUGCCUGAAAGAUUCACCCAGGGAGAAGAUAGGGAGCCGUGUUGGUGUUGAGCAGAGUGUUGGCAGCACAAUCUUCUCCUCUCCCUACUCUUUUGGUUGUGGGACUGGUAGGUGUGAGCAUUUUUAUGGCUUUAGCAGUAUGUGGACCGAGAACUCCCAGAAGUGCAAGCUGGAUUUUGAAGGGACAGAGGAACCAGAAACCAAAUUGCAAACAUGCGCUGGAUAAUGGAGAAAGCUAGAGAGUUCCAGAAAGACAUCUACUUCUGCUUCAUUGACUAUGCAAAAGACUGUGACUGUGUUGACCACAGCAAACUAUGGCAUGUUCUUAAAAAAAUGGGAGUGCCUGAUCACCUCAUCUGUCUCCUGAGAAAUCUCUAUGUGGGACAAGAAGCUACAGUUAGAACUGGAUAUGGAACAACUGAUUGGUUCAAAAUUGGGAAAGGAGUACAAGGUUGUAUAUUGUAUCCCUGCUUAUUUAACUUAUAUGCAGAAUUCAUCAUGUGAAAGGCUGGGCUGGAUGAAUCCCAAACUGGAAUUAAGAUUGCCGGAAGAAAUAACAACCUCAGAUAUGCAGAUGACACAACCUUGAUGGCAGAAAGUGAGGAGGAAUUAAAGAACCUUCUAGUGAGGGCGAAAGAGGAGAAAGCAAAAUAUGAUCUGAAGCUCAAGGUCAAAAAAAACUAAGAUCAUGGCCACUGGUCCCAUCACCUCCUGGCAAAUAGAAGAGGAAGAAAUGGAGGCAGUGAGAGAUUUUACUUUCUUGGGCUCCAUGAUCACUGCAGAUGGUGACAUCAGUCACAAAAUUAAGAGACACCUGUUUCUUGGGAGAAAAGCAAUGACAAACAUAGACAGCAUCUUAAAAAGCAGAAUCAUAGAAUCANNNNNNNNNNNNNNNNNNNNNNNNNNNNNNNNNNNNNNNNNNNNNNNNNNNNNNNNNNNNNNNNNNNNNNNNNNNNNNNNNNNNNNNNNNNNNNNNNNNNNNNNNNNNNNNNNNNNNNNNNNNNNNNNNNNNNNNNNNNNNNNNNNNNNNNNNNNNNNNNNNNNNNNNNNNNNNNNNNNNNNNNNNNNNNNNNNNNNNNNUAGAGUUGGAAGAGACCACAAGGGCCAUCGAGUCCAACCCCUGCCAAGCAGGAAACACCAUCAGAGCACUCCUGACAUAUGGUUGUCAAGCCUCUGCUUAAAGACCUCCAAAGAAGGAGACUCCACCACACUCCUUGGCAGCAAAUUCCACUGUCGAACAGCUCUUACUGUCAGGAAGUUCUUCCUAAUGUUUAGGUGGAAUCUUCUUUCUUGUAGUCUGGAUCCAUUGCUCCGUGUCCGCUUCUCUGCAGCAGAAGAAAACAACCUUUCUCCUUCCUCUAUGUGACAUCCUUUUAUAUAUUUGAACAUGGCUAUCAUAUCACCCCUUAACCUCCUCUUCUCCAGGCUAAACAUGCCCAGCUCCCUUAGCUGUUCCUCAUAAGGCUUCAUUUCCAGGCCUUUGACCAUUUUGGUUGCCCUCCUCUGGACACGUUCCAGUUUGUCAGUGUCCUUCUUGAACUGUGGUGCCCAGAACUGGACACAGUACUCCAGGUGAGGUCUGACCAGAGCAGAAUACAGUGGCACUAUUACUUCCCUUGAUCUAGAUGCUAUACUCCUAUUGAUGCAGCCCAGAAUUGCAUUGGCUUUUUUAGCUGCCGCGUCACACUGUUGGCUCAUGUCAAGUUUGUGGUCAACCAAGACUCCUAGAUCCUUUUCACAUGUACUGCUCUCAAGCCAGGUGUCACCCAUCCUGUAUUUGUGCCUCUCAUUUUUUUUGCCCAAGUGCAAUACUUUACAUUUCUCCUGUUAAAGUUCAUCUUGUUUGUUUUGGCCCAGUUCUCUAAUCUGUCAAGGUCGUUUUGAAGUGUGAUCCUGUCCUCUGGGGUGUUAGCCACCCCUCCCAGUUUGGUGUCAUCUGCAAAUUUGAUCAGGAUGCCCUUGAGUCCAUCAUCCAAGUCGUUGAUAAAGAUGUUGAAUAAGACCGGGCCCAAGACAGAACCCUGUGGCACCCCACUAGUCACUCUUCUCCAGGAUGAAGAGGAACCAUUGAUGAGCACCCUUUGGGUUCGGUCAGUCAGCCAGUUACAAAUCCACUGAGUGGUAGCAUAGUCAAGACCGCAUUUUACCAGCUUCUUUACAAGAAUAUCAUGGGGCACCUUGUCAAAUGCCUUGCUGAAAUCAAGGUAGGCUACAUCCACUGCAUUCCCUUCAUCUACCAGGCUUGUAAUUCUGUCAAAAACGAGAUCAGGUUAGUCUGACAUGACUUAUUUUUCAGAAAUCCAUGCUGACUAUUGGUGAUCACAGCAUUCCUUUCUAGGUGCUCACAGACUGUUUGCUUAAUGAUCUGCUCCAGAAUCUUCCCUGGUAUUGAUGUCAGACUGACUGGGCGGUAAUUAUUUGGGUCCUCUCUUUUCCCCUUGUGAAAAUAGGGACAACAUUUGCCCUCCUCCAGUCUGCCAGGACUUCGCCUGUUCUCCAGGAAUUCUCAAAGAUGACUGCCAGUGGUUCUGAGAUCACAUCUGCCAGUUCUUUUAAUACUCUUGGAUGCAGUUCAUCUGGCCCUGGAGACUUGAAUACAUCUAAACUAGCCAAGUAUUCUUGUACUAUCUCCUUAGUUAUUCUGGGCUGUGUUUCCUCUGCUGAAUCAUUUGCUCCAAAUUCUUCAGGUCGGGCAUUGUUUUCUUUAUCGGAGAAGACUGAGGCAAAGAAGGCAUUGAGGAGUUCAGCCCUUUCUGUGUCCCCUGUUUGCAUUUCACCAUCUUCUCCUCUGAGUGACCCCACUGUUUCUUUGUUCUUCCUUUUGCUACGGACAUACCCAUAAAAGCCUUUUUUGUUGCUUUUAACCUCUCUAGCAAGCCUGAGUUCAUUCUGUGCUUUAGCUUUUCUGACUUUGUGUCUACAUGUGCUGGCUAUUUGUUUGAAUUCCUCUUUGGUGGUUUUCCCCUUUUCCAUUUUUGUACACAUCCUUUUUUAAUCUUAACUCAGUUAAAAGUUCUUUAGAUAGCCACCCUGGCUUCUUUAGGCACCUUCCAUGUUUCCGUCUCAUUGGUAUUGCCUGACGUUGUGCUUUUACUAUCUCCUCUUAACAAACUCCCAGCCAUCAUGAACUCCCUUUCCUUUUAGUAUUACUGUCCAUGGGAUCUCACCCAGCACUUCCCUAAGUUUUAUGAAGUCGGCUUUCUUAAAGUCAAGAAAUUGAGUCCUAGUAUGCUUGGCUGCUCCUUUCCGCUGUAUAGUAAACUUCAGAAGAGCAUGAUCACUCGCGCCUAAUGAUCCUUCCACUUCUACCCCACUAACCAGGUCAUCAACAUUGGUUAGGACCAGAUCUAAAAUGGCUGUUCCUCUUGUUGCUUCUCCCACUUUCUGGACAAUGAAGUUGUCUGCAAGGCCAGUGAGGAAUCUGUUUGACCUUAUGCUCUUGGUUGAGUUUGACAUCCAACAAAUAUCCGGGUAAUUGAAGUCCCCCAUUACUACUAUCUCCCUCCUUUUGCAUGCUUGGCCAUCUGUUCCAGGAAGGCAUCAUCUAUGUCCUCCGUUUGGCUUGGGGAUCUAUAGUAAACUCCCACAAUGAGGUCACUGUUAUUCUUCUCUCCCUUAAUUUUGACCCAAAUGCUCUCACUUUGGCUUUGAGGUUCUAAAUCUUGGAUCUCUUCACAGGUAUACACAUCCCUGACAUAUAACGCCACUCCUCCUCCUUUCUUGUCUGGUCUGUUUCUCUGAAAUAGAUUGUAUCCCUCCAUUAUUACAUUCCAAUCGUGGGACUUAUCCCACCAGGUUUCAGUGAUGCCUAUUAUGUCAUAUUUAGUUUGCUGUACCAAGAGCUCAAGCUCAUCUUGUUUAUUUCCCAUGCUUUGCGCAUUAGUGUACAGACACUGAAGUCCAUUAAUCAUUUCCCCGUGUCUCUUAUUUAAGGAUUUUUUCCUCCCACCACUAGGUCUGCGUGCUGUUUGCUCCAUUUGGUCUAUGACAUUUGGAUGAUCAUCUUCAUCAAUUGAUAGACUCCUACCUUCAGGAGCACUGUCUCCUCCCCACAUUAGUCAGUUUAAAGCCCUCCUGAUGAGGUUUCUGAGAUUUUUGGCAAAAACAUUCCUCCCAACCGUUGGGAGGUGCAGCCCAUCGCUUGCCAGAAGUCCAUCUUCAAGAAACUGCAGUCCGUGAUCUAAGAAUCCAAACCGUUCCUGUUUACACCAUUUGCGAAGCCAGCUGUUCACUUCCACUAUUUUUCCCUCUCUCCCUGGGCCACGUCGUUCAACUGGGAGGGCAGAUGAGAUGACAAUUUGUGCAUUUAAUUGCUUCAAUUUCCUGCCCAGAGCCUCGUAGUCUCUUUUGAUCUUCUGGAGGCUAUUGCUUGCAGGGUCAUUGGUUCCCACAUGAACCAAGAGGAAGGCAAAUGUUGUCCCUAUUUUCAAAAAGGGGAAAAGAGAGGACCCAAAUAAUUACCGCCCAGUUAGUCUGACAUCAAUACCAGGGAAGAUUCUGGAGCAGAUCAUUAAGCAAACAGUCUGUGAGCACCUAGAAAGACUGCUGUGAUCACCAAUAGUCAGCAUGGAUUUCUGAAAAAUAAGUCAUGUCAGACUAACCUGAUCUCGUUUUUUGACAGAAUUACAAGCCUGGUAGAUGAAGGGAACGCAGUGGAUGUAGCCUACCUUGAUUUCAGCAAGGCAUUUGACAAGGUGCCCCAUGAUAUUCUUGUAAAGAAGCUGGUAAAAUGCGGUCUUGACUAUGCUACCACUCAGUGGAUUUGUAACUGGCUGACUGACCAAACCCAAAAGGUGCUCAUCAAUGGUUCCUCUUCAUCCUGGAGAAGAGUGACUAGUGGGGUGCCACAGGGUUCUGUCUUGGGCCCGGUCUUAUUCAACAUCUUUAUCAACGACUUGGAUGAUGGACUCAAGGGCAUCCUGAUCAAAUUUGCAGAUGACACCAAACUGGGAGGGGUGGCUAACACCCCAGAAGACAGGAUCACACUUCAAAACGACCUUGACAGAUUAGAGAACUGGGCCAAAACAAACAAGAUGAAUUUGAACAGGGAGAAAUGUAAAGUAUUGCACUUGGGCAAAAAAUGAGAGGCACAAAUACAAGAUGGGUGACACCUGGCUUGAGAGCAGUACAUAUGAAAAGGAUCUAGGAGUCUUGGUUGACCACAAACUUGACAUGAGCCAACAGUGUGACGCGGCAGCUAAAAAGCCAAUGCAAUUCUGGGCUGCAUCAAUAGGAGUAUAGCAUCUAGAUCAAGGGAAGUAAUAGUGCCACUGUAUUCUGCUCUGGUCAGACCUCACCUGGAGUACUGUGUCCAGUUCUGGGCACCACAGUUCAAGAAGGACACUGACAAACUGGAACGUGUCCAGAGGAGGGCAUCCAAAAUGGUCAAAGGCCUGGAAACGAUGCCUAAUGAGGAACGGCUAAGGGAGCUGGGCAUGUUUAGCCUGGAGAAGAGGAGGUUAAGGGGUGAUAUGAUAGCCAUGUUCAAAUAUAUAAAAGGAUGUCACAUAGAGGAGGGAGAAAGGUUGUUUUCUGCUGCUCCAGAGAAGCGGACACGGAGCAAUGGAUCCAAACUACAAGAAAGAAGAUUCCACCUAAACAUUAGGAAGAACUUCCUGACAGUUAGAGCUGUUUGACAGUGGAAUUUGCUGCCAAGGAGUGUGGUGGAGUCUCCUUCUCUGGAGGUCUUUAAGCAGAGGCUUGACAACCAUAUGUCAGGAGUGCUCUGAUGGUGUUUCCUGCUUGGCAGGGGGUUGGACUCGAUGGCCCUUGUGGUCUCUUCCAACUCUAUGAUUCUAUGAUUCUAUUUGUCAGUGGGUUUUAUGAUUCCUUACAGUCGUUCAGUUACAUCUUGGAUCUUAGCCCCGGGGAGACAGCACACCUUCCGAGACAUCUUGUCAUGCCCACAGAUCACUGCUUCUGUUCCCCUCAGUAGGGAAUCCCCUAUCACCACUACACGCCUCCUCUUAGCUUUGGUUGGGGUUCUUCCGUGAGCUGUCCGUUCCAAGGUCGCCUGCACAUUCCCUGAGGACUGACUUUGCUGCUCGUCUUCAUAUACCUGAUCGACUGUAAUGAGGGAGAGAUCCUCAAAUGGAGUCUGUUCUUCGUCUUCCAUGCUAGGGGAGAGGACCUCAAAGCAAUUGUGUAUUUCUAAACAAUCAGAGCGAACCCUGGGCCUCCUACCUUGAGUCACGUUUCUCCAUAUAUCUGGCUCCUGUGUUGGUGAACUAGCCUCCUUCUCAGGGGAGUCCCCUGUCUCCUCCUUGGUGGAGACGGUGUGCUUUCUUGCUUCCAAGAAGAGCUCCAGCUCUCUAAUUCUUUGGAGCGUAGCUACACGUUCCUCCAGUUGCUGGACUUUGUCUUCUAAGAGGGCAAUCAACAUACAAUUGCUGCAGGUAAAGCUGCCUGCAACCUUUGGCAAGAUGGCAAACAUUGCGCAGGAACUGCAGGCGACUGCAGCUGUUCCCUCACCCUCCAUCUUGAAAACGUGUCGUUGGGGGUGGCUACAGUGGUCCUCCAUCUUAAAAAGCGUGAAGACAGGACAAAUAACUCCCCCCACAAAAAAACCUAGGUCUCCCCCAACAAACGUUUGAGACUAGCUCCCCUAAAUCUAAAAGAUGGAUCAAACUGCCCUGCAAGCUCUGGUAAGCUCCUCCCACAGCUAAUCACCUGCCUCAACAGAAACCCUGCCCCCUCUGACCUUUGCACAGGGAGAGCAGCUAAUCAGCCACAAACACACACACAAGAAAACCCUCAAGAGAUAUCACCUUGCCGACAAAGGUCCGUAUAGUUAAAGCUACGGUGUAGUGAAGUUGGGAAACAUUGGUAUAUCAAACGCUGGUUCACACAGGAGUGAGGUAUUGUGGGAGAGACAAAACUGUGGCCUUCUGGGGAAGCGGUAUCUGGUCUUUGUAAACUUAAUACUUUUCAUCUCUGGAAGUGUGAAUUAAUUACCUCCUGACUCUAGGCAGGAUGAGAUUUGGGGGCUUCAGUGUGGAUAGGGUUGUAAAAAGGUGUAGGAGACGAUCAAGUGAUUUAUAGUUUAUGAGCCUGGUAUGUGGAAGCGAGGGCUGGGAAUGGAAGCAGGACCUUUUGAUCUCAAGGUCUCUGAGCCUAAACAAAGUUCAACUGUGCUGGUCUCCUGACAAUCAGGAAAUAUAUUCUCAUCAAGCAGCCAUUGGUAAAUUGGUAAUUAACCUAAAGAAAUGAUUGGUCCCUAAACUGUUCUCCACCUGAGUUUUCAAGGAGAAAGGUUUUGGGAAUUCAGAUGCAAAUUGCAGAACAUCUUGCCCUGGUACUUUGCCUGGGGGCGUUUGACCAGUGAAAGGACUCUUGCUGUGUUUUGAACUAUUGAUGCUGUGUGAGUAUGGUUUUUAGUUAGCUGUAUUUUACAACGUUUUUAUUUUCUGUUUCUAACCUUCUAAGAAAUGUGCAACUUUUGAGUAGCUUUUUUCAAUAAAUUUGGAAAAGGACUUUUUGUCUUUUGUAUUCUGUGUCUUUGCUCGGAGAAGCUAAACUGGUGCCUGACCAUUUGGGACACCUACCUGUUGAAUUUCUGUCUGUGUCACAGUAAAGUAACUCAGGGCUGCCAAACCCAGUAAAUAUCAAAGGGGGGGGUUCUCCUCCUUGAACCCCAUUUGAGGGUUGCCUGGGAAAAGGAGGUGGCGGCAGCUUUACCGUUUGGCUUGAGAUUUCCAACACCUAGAGAACUCUCCCUCUUCCUGGCCAAGUCUAGGAGGAGAGGUUGGGGUGGGGGGAGGGGGGUGGAUAGCCAAGCUUACUACCUAUGGUUUUCCCAGUAGUGAUGUAUGCAAGUGAGAGCUGGACCAUAAAGAAGGCCGAUUGCUGAAGAAUUGAUGCUUUUGAAUUAUGGUGCUAGAGGAGACUCUUGAGAGCCCCAUGGACUGCAAGAAGAUCAAAACUAUCCAUUCUGAAGGAAAUCAGCCCUGAGUGCUCACUGGAAGGACAGAUCGUGAAGCUGAGGCUCCAAGACUUUGGCCAACUCAUGAGACGAGGAGCCUCCCUGGAAAAGACCCUGAUGUUGGGAAAGAUAGAGGGCACAAGGAGAAGGGGACGACAGAGGAUGAGACGGAUGGACAGUGUUCUCAAAGCUAAACAACUUAACAACAACAAAGAUAUAGUAAGAUUUUUUAUUGAGAUUUUCCCAUCAUACAGUAAAAUGACAACUACAAAAAAAGAAAGAGAAAGAGAAAAGAAAGAAAGGACUUGUAACUGGCUGACUGACCGAACCCAAAGGGAUUUGUAACUGGCUGACUGACCAGUUACAAAUUUGUAACUGUUACAAAUCAGUUACAAAUCAGCCAGUUACAAAUCCAGUUACGGAUUUGUAACUGGCUGACUGACCGAACCCAAAGGGUGCUCAUCAAUGGUUCCUCUUCAUCCUGGAGAAGAGUGACUAGUGGGGUGCCACAGGGUUCUGUCUUGGGCCCGGUCUUAUUCAACAUCUUUAUCAACGACUUGGAUGAUGGACUCAAGGGCAUCCUGAUCAAAUUUGCAGAUGACACCAAACUGGGAGGGGUGGCUAACACCCCAGAGGACAGGAUCACACUUCAAAACGACCUUGACAGAUUAGAGAACUGGGCCAAAACAAACAAGAUGAAUUUGAACAGGGAGAAAUGUAAAGUAUUGCACUUGGGCAAAAAAAUGAGAGGCACAAAUACAAGAUGGGGACACCUGGCUUGAGAGCAGUACACGGGAAACGGAUCUAGGAGUCUCGGGUGACCACAAACUUGACAUGAGCCCACAGGGUGACGCGGCCGCGACAAAAGCCAAUGCAAUUCUGGGCUGCAUCAAUAGGAGUAUAGCAUCUAGAUCAAGGGAAGUAAUAGUGCCACUGUAUUCUGCUCUGGUCAGACCUCACUUGGAGUACUGUGUCCAGUUCUGGGCACCACAGUUCAAGAAGGACACUGACAAACUGGAAUGUGUCCAGAGGAGCGCAACCAAAAUGGUCAAAGGCCUGGAAACGAUGCCUUAUGAGGAACGGCUAAGGGAGCUGGGCAUGUUUAGCCUGGAGAAGAGGAGGUUAAGGGGUGAUAUGAUAGCCAUGUUCAAAUAUAUAAAAGGAUGUCACAUAGAGGAGGGAGAAAGGUUGUUUUCUGCUGCUCCAGAGAAGCGGACACGGAGCAAUGGAUCCAAACUACAAGAAAGAAGAUUCCACCUAAACAUUAGGAAGAACUUCCUGACAGUAAGAGCUGUUUGACAGUGGAAUUUGCUGCCAAGGAGUGUGGUGGAGUCUCCUUCUUUGGAGGUCUUUAAGCGGCGGCUUGACAACCAUAUGUCAGGAGUGCUCUGAUGGUGUUUCCUGCUUGGCAGGGGGUUGGACUCGAUGGCCCUUGUGGUCUCUUCCAACUCUAUGAUUCUAUGAUUCUAUGAAAGGAAAAGAAACAUUAGCAAAAAAUACAAAAGAGGAACUUUUUAUUUCACUUCUUAGAUUAUCCUUUUUUUCUCCCCCCACUAAUAGUACAAAAACCGAGGAAUGUGUCUGUAUUUUGGCAUGUUUCUUUUGUAGGCACACUGUUCUCACAUGAGGAAUUUCAGACUGAUUGCCUGCAAAGCACCAGGGGAGGUUAAGUAAUUGCUAUUUGAGUUAACCCUCCCCCAAAUGUAAAGGCUGCUCAUUUGGGAGAACAACUUCUGAAUUUGGCAUGGUUCAUGGCAUCAGAAGGGAUGAUGAUCAUGGCUGAAAAUGUCAUCUAAUUCACAUUGUUGCAAUGCAGCCCUCCCCCCCCCCAGCCUCCCAGCAGUCCAAGAUUCCAGGGGCUUCUUCAAGGGUUUGUGUUGCUUUUGGCGAAUGAGGCACAGCAGAGACUGUGGUGUCUUUAGGAUAUACAGUGGUGCCUCGCAAGACAAAAUUAAUCCGUUCCGCGAGUCUCUUCGCCUUGCGGUUUUUUCGUCUUGCGAAGCACGGCUAUUAGCGGCUUAGCGGCUAUUAGCGACUUAGCGGCUAUUAACGGCUUAGCGGCUUUAAGAAAAAAGAAACAGAUUCGCAAGAACUCGCAAGACGUUUCGUCUUGCGAAGCAAGCCCAUAGGGAAAUUCGUCUUGCGGAACGACUCAAAAACGCAAAACCCUUUCGUCUAGCAAGUUUUUCAUCUUGCGAGGCAUCUGCCUUACGGGCACCACUGUACAGUUUAUUCACAUGUACAUAUACAACCUGAGCCUGCAAUGGACAGGUUCACCGCAUUAAAAGCCCCAAAGGGUCUUGCUUCUCCCAUAGCUGCAGCCUUGGAUUCAAAAUUUGCUUCUAGCUUACAUCAUGGCAAACUCUCAGCUCUGGCUUUGCCUUUCUAGACACCUGAAAGUUGGGUAAGGGCCAUUCACCCAUUUGCCAUCUCACACAGAGCCCCUUUCUUCAUUCAUUUAAUGGCCCAUCACCCAGGCUAUCACCCCACCAUGAACUAGCCUGGCUAUUCCAAGAAUUAGAAGGGGGCCCAGGCAUUCAGCUUAACCCCCCACCAAAAAACCCACUCCAACCUUCAAAACUCCCCCUCUCUUUCAUAUAUAUAUGAGAUUUUGGAGUUGGGUCAUGAGGCGAUGAGGCGUCUUUGUGAUUCAGGGCUAAAGUCUCCAGCUGCCAUCUUUAGUGUGGGCAUGUAGGCCCCUGUUGCAUGGAAAUGCUGGGCGUGGUGUAGCCGAGCAUACUUUGGCCUGCACUUCCCACACCUUCCCCCUCCUUUUGGAGAGCAUCUCAAGAAAACCACACUUCUCCUUUUGGGUGGGAAGAGGUUGCUCUCCCAGUUUGGGGCCUUCAUUUGUCUCUGUCUAUCCCCAUCCUGUCUCAUUGGUGGGAGAGAGGCUUCAGCCCGUGAGCCACUUCUGCUUCACCUUGCUGUCAUCCUCCCAGCCACAGCACUAGCCGAUUGAGCAACAUGGGCAUGCCUCAACCAUCUUUCUGCCCUAUUUUUGGCUGGUGCCAUGGCCAGCCUUGUUCACUGUCUUCCUGAGCAACACGUGAUUGAUCUCUUCAGGUGUACCUGUGCCCCCACAUGCUUUGGGGUGUCUUUCUAGCUGGGCUGUCACAUUCUCACAGCCUAUUUUGGGCUUUUCUCCUGGCCUCCCCCACAGCUACCCCGAUGGCCCUUGGGUCUGCAGCCUUGGAAUUCCCUGUUGGCCUUUAUGCCUUCUAUAUUUUAGCUAAGGGCUCCUUUGGGCGACAUUCGGUCCUUGACAUUCCCUAUGGCAGCCUUCCUCAACCUUGAGUCUCCAGAUGUUGUUGGACUACAGCUCCUAUCAUCCUAAAUGCCCCACCCCCACAAAAAAAUGGGCUAAGGCAUUCCUGCCUGAUGCAGUGGAUUAUAUUUUAGCUAGGCUGAUCCCAACAUGGACAGCAUAUGCACUGCCAGGGUGCAAAGAUCCGCCCAGCGCCCCCCUGGGGGUGCAGGUCUAAGUUGUUGAGCUUUUCUUUAGGGGCACAGCGAAAACCACAAACAUGAAUAAAAAGCGGCAAUGAAAACUCUUUUCUGUUUUUGUGAUCAUGCAAAAAUGAAAGACAUCACUAAAGGGGGGGGGGGGGGUACUUGAUACAUUGAUUCUGCAGCUCUUCCACAAAAGCUCCAGGGUGGUAGAAAGCAGGUCACUUUGGGCACAGCUCAGGGGAAAGGGGCCCCAGCACAAGUGAGUGUGUUUCAUAUUUAUUUCAGUCCUUUAUCCGUAAGGCAUCUGGAGUCCUUGUCAGGGAAAAAAGCAGCAUAUAAAGAAAGAUGUAAUAAUAGUGAUGAUGAUGUUUGACAGGUACAAUAUCACCUGAGUUUGUCCUGCGAUGCUCACAGCGUGACAUCACUAGGAAGGGACACACUCCACCUUGUGUGCUGCUGGAGUAAAGGCUGGCUGGGCUCUGCAUGCUAAAGAGAGAGGCAAGCAAAGCUCUCGGCAGUCCUCCACACGUGGGCACCUAGGAAUGGGAUGCGUUGGGAAGCUAAGGGUUUUCUAUACAUUAAAUACUAUGUUGAUGUUUUAAUAUAAGUAAACAUUCAAAACAAAUUUGUUUUGAAUGUUUGAAUGCACUCAUAAACCAGGAAUACCUUACUUACUUUCUUUUUGCAUCAAAUUGAUGAACGAGGUCAUCUCAUUCACUAGCAGUACUUCCCUUUUUACUUUAUUAUUUACUUUAAAUUCUUUAUAGUUACCUUAAUGGAGGAGGAUCCUUUCCUCAAAAUAGGGCAUUUGGGAUUAAGAUUAGAUAGGGAAUAGUUCGUAUGUUUAACACCUACACAAAACAAAUGCAUGUGCUAAGUCCAUGUGAGUGUUAAUUAGUAUUUUAUAAUUAGAAACCUCUGCACUGUGUCUUGCACUCUAAAGCACUGAUAAAAAAAACACACACUGGCAUCAACAGAAUAGAGCCCAAGAGACAGACCUUCAUUUAAUGCUCUUUGAAUGUUCUGAUGCCAUUAAGAAAACCAAGAUAUUGAGAACGGAGGAUUAGGAAAGCUUAAAAACUAACCUGAGUAAACAUUAUCAGACCCCAGCGAUCUGUUUCAUAGAAUCAUAGAAUUGUGGAGUUGGAAGGGACUCCAAGGGUCAUCUAGUUCAACCCCCUGCAAUGCAGGAAUCGAUUUAUUAAAUUAGCAUCUUGCCCUGCCUCCAUGGUACUCAGGGCAGUAUGCAUGGUCCUCUCCUGCCCUUAUUUUAUCUUCACUAGAACACUGAGAUGCAGGUUAGGCUGAAACUGCCCCAAUGUGGCCCAGUGACCUGUAUGGGCAAGUAGAAAUUUGGCCAGUUCACAAAAACGCUGCCAGAUUAAAGGAACCUCAGAGCUGCACACACAUCUUGGUGGGGAUCUGAAUUGGUCCUCUACAGGCAGCAGUCUAUUUCCAGGUAAAGUAAAAACUGCAAGUUUCCACCUAUAAACCUUCAACCCUCUGGAACCAGGAUAUCCGAAGCCUCACCUCCUGCACUUUUCAGUUUGUUAAGAUACCCAGCUAAGGCUCUGCUUUGAAACCUCCCAUCUCUAGAAGUCACUACCAGGACAGAUACUUCUCAGUAGUGGCACCUUCUUUGUAGAAUAUUUGCCAGAUGCUUACAUUAUUAAAACUUUAUUUUUUUCUCUUAUUUUGGUACCAUUUAAUUUUAAGGAUUUAUAAUUAAACUGCAGUUUCAUCUGUUGCUGUUUCAAUAUUGUUGUUUAAUCUCACUACUGUAUAGUGUGCUUGUUUGCUUAUAAAAUUUUAAUGCUUAAUAUGUUAAAAUAUAGAAGAGGCUUACAUAGUUAAAAAACCAAUAACAGUACGAACUGUAGCGUGUAGUAUUACCUAGCAGUUAGGGAGAUGUAAUCAUCAAACUUCAAAGUGCAUCUUUUCUCCUUCCACUUGUAAGGCUCAAGUGUUGAGUGUUUUUGUAUUUUCAAAUAUACUAGGACAAUACCUUCAUUAUUUCAUUUCAUUUCAUUUUUAAUUUGUAUACCGUCUUUCUAUAUAUACCCAAGGCAGUUUACAAGCUAAAUAAACAACAAAAUAGACAAGAAAGAUCACACACAUAAUACCAAUAUGAUCCAAUACAAAAAGUCACAAUAAUUUUAAAAUAAACAACCUAUAUCAAAGAAAACAAUAUUCAAUAAUCCAUUUGAAUAUAAUAGUAUGCAGUAACAUUAAAUAUCAACAAAAGUGCCACAAAAUAGUGUGAACCAUCCCCAGGCCUUGGCAGCCUCAUUGCUAGAAGGUUCAGGCUCAGCCAAGCAUACCUGCAACCCCAAUCUCACCAUACUACUCAAGAAUAAAAGGGAUUGCCUGCACUCCUCAGCAGAGAAGGGUUCCGGGGGAGCAUCUGAACAUGGCUUUGAAUGGGGCCUGGGAUGCUAUAUAACCCUUCAGUUAAGGUGGUUGUAAAAUAACAUGGACCACAUAAAAACAAAUGUAGCCAAAACCAAAUUGUUGUGUUUGAGACUGCCACUCCAUGCACGCUAUCCUGGGAGUCACUCUCAUUGAUCUCAUUUGACAAGAAAUGCAUAGAAUUUCUCUGUAACGGAUGGCACCAACCUAAGGAAUAAUGAGUUCUAUGCCUUUUAUGGGACCUAGAAACUUGGGAAUGCCUUGAACAACAACAAUCAAGGAAUGCCUUGAUUUGCCAUCACAGGCACUGGAUUGUGCAGAUUAAAAGAACAAAAGUUGUGAGUUUGCUUCCUCAAAUUCUGUUUAUUCAGUGCAAAUGACAUCUUCAGAAUUUCCUAAUUUUUAUUUAAGAAAGAUUUCCAGAGAUCAGGGAGUGACCUCUGUUGCUGCUCAAUUUUGAGAUAUUGAUAUCUGUUUAUUGUUCAUCUCAGGCAUUUAUAAGCAACUAGGACUUGCAGCCUAACGUUCAGAAUCCUCAAAUAAAUGCAGUGGAGACAAACAUGGAUUAAUUAACCUGUCCUCUUUGCACUUCACAGCUAUGACUGCACAUAGCAAUAAAGCAGAUCCUAUUGAUUUUAAACCCUCUCAUUACUUGGUACUAUAAAUCCAUACAAAACAUACACUGUUUUCAUCCACAGUAUCUGGGAUAUGUCCCUUCUGGAUUAUGGCCACUGGUACAAAAAGAGAAGAAAGUGUUUGUUAAUUUAGUUAAAAGGAAAAAUAGAUAUGGUAAAAUAAAAGACAAAUUUAUCGAAUGCCUAAAUCCAGGUUUGGGGCAAAUACUAUUUGGUGAGUGAGCCCCAGCAGACAAUUAAAAUCACAAAAUAUGCAGCGAAGCCAAGCAUGGAAAGAUAGGCUGUUAGACAUUUAAAAUAUCUUCUAAGUUUCUUCCAAAGUUCCCCACUUUCCUUAGCAUAGAGAGGUCACAAGUUGGGUAAGUUAAAAAUGGUUUACUUACAAACUUCCCAAAGGUCUGGUUCAUGUGCUUUUCCAUACAGCAGCAAGAAAAGGUUGUACAUUGUAAAUGUUUCUAAAUUAUUUGUGAAGAGACACAUUCCAAGGGGUUUCCAUAUCGACAGAGAAUAGGCAGAAAGAGACUUUCCAAAAUAUGCAGUAGAUGAGGUAUUGGUCUAAGUCUCCUGCUGUGUAGAGAGUGACUGAACUGAACCAGGGCAUUUGCAGAAAAGGAGGGCAUGGAGCCACGGUGAUUCAUAGCUGUAUUCUAGAAAAGAGUUUCUGUUUGAUCCAGAACCUUCCCCAUCCUAGGGCUCAUCCACACUUAUCUUUGCCCCAUUUCUAGAAAGCAGAGGCCCAAGCAGUCUUCCCCUUGUCCCAAUCCUUUCCCAGGGAAAACCUGCUCUUUAGCUCUACAUCAGGGCAAACUUCAACCCAGAGAAAACCCCAAAUGCCAUUUGCUCUGACGGAGCAUCCAAGAGUGGUUUUCCCUGGGCAAAAGCAGCAGUAUAAGAAGAAGUGGAGAAAAGCCCCCUGUUGAGUAUCUGACAACAGGACCGCAUAGGAAUAGAAGCAGGAAACAGCUUUCUGUUUGUAUCUUGGCUUGCAUCGUUUAAGGAUGGAGCAGGGUCUCUUUGGGAUCCAGGGCAGCUCUGACAGCCACGUUGAGCUUCCAGGCUGUCAGUUGCCUAUACCUAAUCUAAAUAAUUAACAGCUUUGCAUUUGCACAUGAAACUGAUGAAAAGGGAGUGCAAAUAUUUUUGUUCUCCAUUUCAGAGUGUAAAUGAUAUUUCCAUGUAUUAUUAUUUCUCUCUGAAGAAGGUAAAUAAUGAAUAGUUAUUAAAUCUUGACUAUUUAUAGAAACCUCCCUAAUUAAUUUGGAGGUUUUUGAAAAUGCGAACUUCAUAAAUAUUGAAUUGAGUUUUUACCUCAGUGGGGAGCAGUUUUCUAUAUCUGCAGCAUUAACAAUCUGAUAAUUCAUGCUUCAUUUUUCUGUGAUCUGCAGAAUAGAUAAUAAAUGCUUUAACAUCCAUCCUAUUAGAAUUCUUUUUUGCCCCAAAUGUGCAACCUUUCAAAGAAUGCGGAAAAUUAGAAUCACACAAACUGUAGAAUCAAAAGGUAAAGGUAAAGGACCACUGGAUGGUUAAGUCCAGUCAAAGGCGACUCUGGGGUGCAGCGCUCAUCUUGCUUCAGGCCGAGGGAGCAGGCAGACAGCUUUCCGGGUCAUGUGGCCAGCAGGACUAGGCCACUUCUGGGCGAAGGGAGGUGACUCUGGUGCAUUUCCCAGAGGUCGCAUGUGGCUGGCUACUGUGGAAAAGAGGCUGGUGGGUUUGAUACGCCUUGGUCUGAUCCGGCAGGAUCCCUCCUGCAUUCCAGGCAGAAGUUUGGUGUAACUCUGGAUAGAGCCUUAGGAAAGGAGAUGAAGUGAAGCAAGUUGAACUGGAAAUGCCCUUGAAGCACAGCAACUUCUGUGCAGAGGAAGUCCCCAGAACAAGGGAAAUGCAGCUCUCGAAAAGUGUGGGGUGGAUUGUUAACCUUCAUAAAGUCCAUUAAGCAGGUGAAAGAAGACAGUAGGAAGAAAGAAGGAAGAAAGUAGGAGCUGCCUAGAAAAGAUAUAUAACUCCAUGUUCUUUCUGAUUUGCUUCUGUUUUAAUUUUUCCUUGCUGUCAGUCCAACAGGAAUAAGUACUUGCCUAUUUUGUAUAGUAGGAUCCAAUUCUGCCCCCCACUCUGGUGGGAUGUGUGAAUUAGAAAUAAGCAAGCCUCACCCAAUGGCAAGUGAUUCACCUCUUUAUUGCAAGUGUGGGUUAAAAAGCAUUUUUAAAAAAAAUCCCUCAAGUUUCACUUAAUGAGAAACCUCAAACUUCAGUUAGUAUUUUAUUUUAGAAUGGUACAUUGGCAUAUGCAUGUCUGAUUUAAGCCAUUGUGAAACAGUAGUUAUUUGUUGACUGGAAGCUUAUCUUUCCAUGGCCUUCCUCACUUUCACCAGUUUUUCUUUUCUUAUUUCUGUUCUAGCAAAUAAUACCCCCAUACACAUGUCAAUACCAUAAACCAAAGCAGAGAAGAAAUUGACCCGCAUGAUGCAUUUCUAUUCAGUGAUUGCUCUCCAGGUCAGAGGGCUAAAUUGUCUAGUGGUUCAGACUGAAACAAACCGCUUGAGCUGAAGCCUCUAUUUUCACAAGACAUUUUGAAAGGAUGCCGCCCACCUCAUCUGUAUUCCUGUUCAAGGCAACACAGUGAGGAAGAAAAAGUAACAUGUGGAGGAUUAGACUGGAAAAUGGUCAUUUUUUGAAAGAGCUUGGAUAGUUUUUAAAAAGUGGAUACUUAAUUUGAGAAAUACUUAGUUAGUCAUCUUAUAGAAAGAGUGCAGAAAGAUAAAUGUUUCAUGGAAAAGGGGAAAUAAAUGUUCAAGGACUGUCAUAUGACAGACCUUAAAGAUAGUUUCAUACGGGUAAGAUUCACACAAAAAAGGAGUGAUCAAAACAUGCUUUGGGUCAUGAAUGGAGGGAGGGGCAACAGUUCCUUCAGGUUCCUUCCCACACAACUCAAGUAGUCCUGGGGAGUGGCUCCAGCUCUUGAGGUUGGACUUUUUGCUGUUGCUAUUUUUAUUUUUUCAAUAUACUUUAUUAAUUAAUAUUUUCAAUAUCAUAAAAUACCAGCUGUGAGUGCUGGAGGCCCUUUCCACCUGGCCUGGGGGGGGGGGAGGCUCAUCCUGCCCAGGGAUCAUAGGAACAGGGAGACGGGACUUUUGACCUCCUGGGGACUUCCACUAUAAGGGGGGCUGGAAAGCCCCUGUGUAUAAGGAGAGCACAAAGCUGGUUUCAUAGAUAUCGUGAAAAGUGGUCACUGAAAAGCUAUAACAUAUCCAUCAGAGAAUAAACCAAUAUUUGCAAACUCUAGAGAUCUGGGAUUAGUUUCUGUAUUGCGGUCUUCCCUUUCGGUUUAUUUUAUGUGUGAAAUGUAUUGUAUAUGAUUUGUAUCUAAACCUUGAGUCUUACAUUGAUUUUAGUCGAGGAUUAUAGUUUAUCCAACUUCAAAGUUGUCUCGGGUCUCUAUAAUUUCAAAAACAUCUUGCCAAGUUUUGAAAACAUGCAGCAUAAUCCCAGAUCAGACAUGGUCUCCUGUGAAUUUCUCUACAACAAAACUGGAUACAAAUAAUGCUAGAAACUUAAACAGGUCUCUGAGUAAAUAUUUCUGAAGAUAAUGACUCAAAACUAAAAGCAGUUUGUUAAAGAAAGGUGACCCCCCCCCCCGCGCGUGCACACACAUUUGAAUCAAACCAUUUUAACACAUGGCUUUGACAAAGCGUGUUCUCCUUCAUGGAGAGCACGUGUUGCGGUGGGGUCUGCUGAGCCACCCCUCUGUUACCAGGCAGGGUCUCUAAAGAUGGCCUGGGCAGUGAUUGGUUCACUGGGUUGCUGGGGUAAAAGUUAUGUUGCAAUUUUGGUGGGAGGGGUAAAAUGUUUAAAUACUCUGCACGCAGCCUGGAGCUUUCUCUUUGCUUCGUGCAACGGAUCACCUGGAGCACUUGGGCUGUCUGGAGGACAGUAGAGUGAUCUUCUCAUUGUCUGGUUACAUGCCUUUAUUUUCCCCUUCUUUUAAUCCUCUCUAGUCCCUUAAUUAAUUUAAUUCCCCUUUUUCCCCCUGUUUGGUUUCCCACCCCACCCCUUACCCUGCCCUGUGGGAAGAUUCUCCCUGUACCUGUGAGCGCUGCCUGUGCAUCAUCCUCCUGGGCUUGUCUUUCCCAGUAGGGAGAGAGCCCCCAUUAGGGGCUUUAUUUAGCAAAAUGAUUUUCCCCAUUUCGUCUGUUUGUUAAUUGUGGGGCUAGUCAGGGCUGUUCCCAGCUUACUUGGAAUCACUUUCGUUUAUAGUAUCCUCAUAGGUUGGCUUUAUUUUGGGUGAUUGCAGUUCUGUUGGCUGAAUUUUAAUCUAGCCUUGGGCGGAAGCACUAUUUUGAGUUCCUUUAAUAUUGCAAUGAGACAAAAAGGCAGCGCGCAGAAGCAGGGAGGCCUGCACAGCCCGCACAGAUCAUUCAAGCCUAAGCCUGCUACAGUUAGCAGUACAGUAAAUUGUGAAGUCUCUGUGACAUGUGACUCAUUCUCUCUCUAAGAAUGUAUCUGUUGUUUGCAGGCUCAAUGCUAAUGUAUAUCUGAGGCAGACAGAGUGGAGCCAGAGGCUCUCUGUGCCUCCAAUGAGCACUCUGUGUGUGCUCUUUAACUAUGCUGUUUCUGAACAAGUUUAUUUUCUUCAAGUUUGUUUUGCCCUGAUAGUGGCAACUGCCGUUUUAGAGACGAGCCAUUGUGGCUUAGUGGCUAGAGCGCAGUACUAGGACCUGGGAGACAGGGUUCAUAUCCCUCACUUAGCCAUUGUUAUAACAAGGCAAAACAAGCUGCUCCUUUUGGACUAUUUUGUUGCUGGGUAGUUUGGCCCGUUUGUGAUAUUGCUCCCAAAAAGAACUUUGGGUUUCUUGAGGAGGUGCUUCCCUCUAAAGGGCAAGCAGGGGUACCUGGACAGGAAGGGGGGCUGCCUCGAGUUUGUUAUCUCAUUGGAAACAUUUAUGUCUGGCCUAGCAGGUGAUCCUAGGGCUUGGCCCACUUUGCCCUAGAAUUUGAUGGCCUCUGGCAGCAUUUCUGGCCUGAAUAGCGUCCCCAUGUGGUGCACAAAGCAUUGGUUUCACCUGUUCCUCACAUUGUUUAGUUUUUUGAAGACUAUGACAAGGCCUUUGCAGAUGCCUCCAGAGCUUGCCUCUCCUGCAGAGGAUGACUUGCUGAUGCCCCAGGUGCCUUCUUCCAGAAGGAAGCGUCUUCAGAAGCAGCGAUCCAGGAGCAGGAAAAGCGGAGCAGGGAUUAUGCUUACACCUCCUUGCAGGUACAUCAUCCCUAGGCUCUGAUGAUGAUUCAGACAUCACCUUGGACCUCUCCAGGGGUCAGGGUGAGGCUGUUCCAGGUUUUUAGGGAUCAUCCUGGAUAGCUCAGCUGGUCAGCGUAUGGUGCCGGUAAUGCCGAGGUUGCAGGAUUGGUCCCUGUAUGGGACAGCUGCAUGCUCCCCCAUCCCUCUAUCCGGACACUGAGGUCCAGCGCCGAGGGCCUUCUGGUGGUUUCCUCACUGUGAGAAGCCAAGUUACAGGGAACCAGGUGGAGGGCCUUCUCGGUAGUGGCACCCGCCCUGUGGUACGAGAUAUCCCACCAGUACCAGAUAUCCCACCAGAUAUCUACUACCAGACUUUUAGAAGACAUCUAAGGCAGCCCUGUUUAGGGAAGCUUUUAAUGUUUGAUGCAUUACUGUAUUUUAAUAUUUUGUUGAAGCUGCCCAGAGUUGCUGAGGAAGCCCAGCCAGAUGGGCGGGGUACAAAGAGAUGAUUAUUAUUAUUACUGUUGUUCUUGUUGUUAUUAUUAUUAUUAUAUUGUGGGAGAGUGGACUAGAUGAUCCUCGGAGUCCCUUCCAACCCCACUAUUCUAUAAGUGGCAAUUCACUAUGAUGGGAAUGUUAGACGCAGGGCUGCCAUCAUCCCCUCAGCUCGCUAGGAUCGCAGGGACAGGGACAUGUGGACCACUUGCGCAGCUCCACAUUUCAAAUGGAAAUUCCCUGAGCAAUAGAACCUGAAGCUGGUAUAUGGCUUUAGUAGAAAUAUUAUAAGGAAUUAAGUACAGAUAGGUUAAUAGAGUAUUAAAGGAAAAAAAUAAGGUUAGAAUGAGUUAAGAUAAUUAUAGGAUAGAAAACAGGAAGAUGGAAAGAAAUUGCUGAAAUAAUUAACAGAAGUGGAAUACAAAAAGGGAGGUGUGAGGAGGUCGUGGAAAUAAGUGAAUGAAAGAUGGGAUAAUGAAAUUGUUUGAUUUAUUUUAUUGAAUCAUAGAAUCAUAGAAUAAUAGAGUUGGAAUAGACCACAAGGGCCAUCGAGUCCAACACCCUGCCAAGCAGGAAACACCAUCAGAGCACUCCUGACAUAUGGUUGUCAAGCCUCUGCUUAAAGACCUCCAAAGAAGGAGACUCCACCACACUCCUUGGCAGCAAAUUCCACUGUCGAACAGCUCUUACUGUCAGGAAAUUCUUCCUAAUGUUUAGGUGGAAUCUUCUUUCUUGUAGUUUGGAUCCAUUGCUCCGUGUCCGCUUCUCUGGAGCAGCAGAAAACAACCUUUCUCCCUCCUCUAUGUGACAUCCUUUUAUAUAUUUGAACAUGGCUAUCCUAUCACCCCUUAACCUCCUCUUCUCCAGGCUAAACAUGCCCAGCUCCCUUAGUCGUUCCUCAUAAGGCAUCAUUUCCAGGCCUUUGACCAUUUUGGUUGCCCUCCUCUGGACACGUUCCAGUUUGUCAGUGUCCUUCUUGAACUGUGGUGCCCAGAACUGGACACAGUACUCCAGGUGAGGUCUGACCAGAGCAGAAUACAGUGGCACUAUUACUUCCCUUGAUCUAGAUGCUAUACUCCUAUUGAUGCAGCCCAGAAUUGCAUUGGCUUUUUAGCUGCCGCGUCACACUGUUGGCUCAUGUCAAGUUUGUGGUCAACCAAGACUCCUAGAUCCUUUUCAUAUGUACUGCUCUCAAGCCAGGUGUCACCCAUCUUGUAUUUGUGCCUCUCAUUUUUUUGCCCAAGUGCAAUACUUUACAUUUCUCCCUGUUCAAAUUCAUCUUGUUUGUUUUGGCCCCGGUCUCGAAUCUGUCAAGGUCAUUUUGAAGUGGGAUCCUGUCCUCUGGGGUGUUAGCCACCCUCCCAGUUUGGUGUCAUCUGCAAAUUUGAUCAGGAUGCCCUUGAGUCCAUCAUCCAAGUCGUUGAUAAAGAUGUUGAAUAAGACCGGGCCCAAGACAGAACCCUGUGGCACCUCACUAGUCACUCUUCUCCAGGAUGAAGAGGAACCAUUGAUGAGCACCCUUUGGGUUCGGUCAGUCAGCCAGUUACAAAUCCACUGAGUGGUAGCAUAGUCAAGACCACAUUUUACCAGCUUCUUUACAAGAAUAUCAUGGGGCACCUUGUCAAAUGCCUUGCUGAAAUCAAGGUAGGCUACAUCCACUGCGUUCCCUUCAUCUACCAGUCUUGUAAUUCUGUCAAAAAACGAGAUCAGGUUAGUCUGACAUGACUUAUUUUUCAGAAAUCCAUGCUGACUAUUGGUGAUCACAGCAUUCUUUCUAGGUGCUCACAGACUGUUUGCUUAAUGAUCUGCUCCAGAAUCUUCCCUGGUAUUGAUGUCAGACUGACUGGGCGGUAAUUAUUUGGGUCCUCUCUUUUCCCCUUUUUGAAAAUAGGGACAACAUUUGCCCUCCUCCAGUCUGCCGGGACUUCGCCUGUUCUCCAGGAAUUCUCAAAGAUGACUGCCAGUGGUUCUGAGAUCACAUCUGCCAGUUCUUUUAAUACUCUUGGAUGCAGUUCAGAAGCAUCGCCAAUGAUGCCUGUGCUGAUGCCUGUCUGUUGUUCCUUUUUUCAUAGGAGCAGCUGUGCGCAUUUCGAUUGUCGGCCACAGCAUCAUGCACUGAGCUGGCAAGCACCCUGAUGAGUCUGGAUUGGGGGCGCCAUCUCAGCCUUCCUGCCCAUGUUUCUAGCUCUAGUCCGCAUCUGGAUUGUGGGGCACAGCAUCAUUUACUGGGCUGGCAUCAGAGCUAGGCAGUCUGGAAGGGGACUGGGUCUUGGCCUCCCGCAACAUGUGCAGGUGUCAUGGAUAUCCAGGCGCAGAAUGCGGUGGAGCGAAUUCAUCCCGCUAAUUAAGCAGAGGGUGUUUUCGGAUGGCGCCCCCAUGGCAAUUGUGGUGCAGCUGGGGGAGAACAAUGUGGCAACUUAUGAUUGCUUUACUUUGCGCAGAGAGACUUGGGGGAAUUGGUGACCUUAAUACCCACAGUUAAAAUAUUUUGGUCACAAUUGCUGCAAAGGCGCAAUUGGCAUGGCAUUUCUCAACCUGAGGCUGCUGAAAGGGCCAGGAAGCGCAUUAAUUCUGCAGUGUGUAAGAAGGUGGCAGAAUUGGGUGGGUUGGUUAUUUCCCAUCCGGAUAUUACCUUCAAGGAUCUGGCCCUUUACUGCAAUGAUGGAGUACAUCUCUCCGUACUGGGGAAUGAUGUUUGGUUGGAUGCGGUAACUGCAAGGUUGAAGGUUGAGUUGGGAUUGUGAGUGGUUGGGGGCGAGUGUAAAGGGCUCGAUUGGCGGUUAGGCAUUGGUUAUAAAUUGGUGGAGGAGGGGUUAGGAUAGGCUGGGCCUGCCCCUCCAUGGUUGCUGCGGAAAGGGAAUUCCGUUAAAGGAAUCCUGGGGCUUGCCAUCUUUUCGUCCAAUCCCUGGAAUGGGACUAGGGCCGGCAAGCCUUCGGGGAGCAUGCGGGUGAGAAUUGAGGGUCUGUGACUCAGCUCCAUUUCUCUCCGACUUGCUUUCCCCCGCACUGUCUUUCGGUGGUGCCCGGAAGUCAGUUCUGUCCCCAGGCGGGGGGACAGAUAGUCUUAACCAAUGCCUAAACAACCACUCACGGUUUUGUAUUUAAAUAAAGUUGUGGCCAAAAUUAUGCCAAAAACCUUAAACAAAAAUUAAGUGUGCGUUGUGAGUUAUUUGGGGGGUGGCUUGGGGACCUCGUCAUGCAACAUCACCCAAGUUGAAACAGAUGGCUAAUAAGUGCCUGCCUCUUGGCCCUACAGACGUUCAGCAAGUAAAAUUGGGAGGGAGGGGAAUAUGGAUCUGUGGGUGGGGAUCAUUUUUCAUGGAGUUAUUCCAUCCAUGUUUUAUGGUAAUAUCCAUUUCCUAACUGUUCUACUUUUGUAGAAGAAGGUUGAAUGAAAAUAUGAAUUGUCAUAAUGACAGUCUAUCUAAAUUCAGGGUCUCUCACUGCCAGGAUGUGCAGUGAUUUUAACCUUCAGGGCUUUUCCCUUUUAUGCCUUUGUAUUUAUAAAGUGAUACUUGCAUAGAAUAAAUUAAGGACAAUCUUUGCAAGUUAUAAAUGAUUAUUCAUUUGGGCUCUUUUCCAGUAAGUCCCAAUAGUAUUAUAGUAACUCUUUUAAAAAAAUAUUUGUGCCAGAAUGCAGAUUUGUUGUUGGUGAAUUAUUUGAGUUGCAUACAUUCUUAAAAGCAGAUAUCUUUAUCCACACAACACAAUGCUUAUUCGGCUCACUAAUCUGUUGGGACGUAGGGGUAUCAUUUAAGGGGACCAGAAAGGCAGCUGCCCACCAGAGUUCAGAGUAUGCACCAUCAUUCCUCACUAGCACUGAUAAUCUCUGAGCAGCUGAGCAGCCCAAUGUAUCAAGGGACUAUAUGGAGCAACCCUAUUUUUUAGGAGGCAAAAUUUUAUUGCAAUGAUAUAACUGCUGAUCGUUAUAUACUUUAUUUUGGUAUGCAUGUAUAUAUUCGUAAUGGCACAUUUUUAAUGUUGUAACCAGCUCUAGAACCUUAGGGUGAAGCACAGGUAAAUUAUCAAUAAUAAUACUAAAUUCUGGGAUUCGCGUCCUGUGCCUCGUCAGUGGAAGCCCUGCACAAAGCCAUCCCCUUGUGCAACAGGACUUUCCCCUCUUCUCCCUUCAGAAGAACCUCCAGCAGAGCCUUGUCAGGAGAGGAGAAAGGGCAUUGUUCCCUCUGGCAAGCUGACUGAAUAUUCGUAAUAGCUCUAUGUCGUAUUCCACCCGAUGUAUAUAAGGUCUGUCAAGUGGGACUUAAACUGCUACAAGAAGGCAGGUAUAAUAAUUAAUAAUAAUUAAUAUUUACAGUGCAGGCCCAUUAAUAUAAACUCAGUAAAAAAGGUAAAGGGACCCCUGACCAUUAGGUCCAGUCAUGGCCGACUCUGGGGUUGCAGCGCUCAUCUCACUUUAUUGUCCGAAGGAGCCAGCGUACAGCUUCCAGGUCAUGUGGCCAGCAUGACUAAGCCGCUUCUGGUGAACCAGAGCAGCGCACGGAAAUGCCGUUUACCUUCCCGCCGGAGCAGUACCUAUUGAUCUACUUGCACUUUGACGUGCUUUUGAACUGCUAGGUUGGCAGGAGCAAGGACUGAGCAAUGGGAGCUCACCCCAUCAUGGGGAUUCGAACCGCUGACCUUCUGAUCGGCAAGUCCUAGGCUCUGUGGUUUAACCCACAGUGCCACCCGCGUCCCUUAAACUCAGUAGUGCCAUUGAAUUCCGUGGGCUUACUCCCAAGGAAGCAAAUAUAAUAUUGCAGCCUCCCAUAUUUAACAGUUUUAUUAAUAAAUCUUAUUUAUUAUAAAAUAGUUUUAUUAAUUAACAGUUUUAUUAAUAAAUCUUAUUUAUUAUAAAAUUAUAAUAUAGGAUUCUUUGUUGCUUUUGCUGCCACAGACCAACAAGGCUUUCCUUCCAAACUUCCUAUAAAAGUAUUUAAAGAGACUGACUAUUUCAAAGUUCUUCUAACUCCACCAGCUAUAUGACAUGAACAAUGGCUGCAAUAAUUAUUUCUAGCAUUCCCUGAUAGCUAAGCAUGUUCUGUUCACUGAUAACACAGUGGUCAGAAACUUUAGCCAUCUUUAAAGAAGCCUUGGAUAUUAAUUAUCCUUCAUUCAAAAUAAAAGAAAAGUUGCAAUGAGUCUGAACAGCACAAUCCUUUGCACAUUUAUUCAGGAGUAAGUCCUGCUGUGUUCUGUGUGGCUUGCAAGCUAAAAGGUUUCAAUCCUUGCCAGGAAGGGACACAAAUAGAACAGUAGGCAUCUUCUACAAUACAUAAAUCUUAAUGAGUUUUGUACACAGUAUAUGAGAAGGCUAGCACUGAACAAAAUAAAUGGUUAUUGAUAUUAAUGUGGUUUUAAAAAAUAACUUGAUGUGUGCAGUUGUCUAGAUAGCUUCUGUGAACAUACAGAAAACAUGGCUUAUCAAGCUCUUUAAUUUAAUAUAUAGCACAUUUUGAACUAAUAAGACUAAUCAUUGUUCCCUCAUCAUAUCAUAUUUUGCAACACAAAUGGGUUUUUUAACACUGAAAAUAAAAUGCCUGGGUUUUGAAUCUACAUUUUAGUCAUCUUUAAAGAAGCCUUGGAUAAUAAUUAUCCUUCAUUCAAAAUAAAAGGGAGCUGCAAUGAGUCACAUGACCCGCACAAGAUCAUGGGCCUCCCAAAUGUGUGUUUUGGGGUGCCAUGCAAGAUCUCUACUCCCCCAAAAAGUGCUUUUUCAGGGCAGCACUCUUGCACAGUGCCCUAAAACGUGUGGUUUGGGCACUGUGCCUGAAAAAAGUCCAGCCCAAAAUCAUGCAUGAUCGCGGCAGCCACUUUGGCCACUGCCUUCUCUCAAGAAAAAACAGGAUGCCCCCUUUUUUCCAGGGCUGUAUCUAUUUAUUUAUAUUUGGUCAUUAUGAAAAAAACACUGCUUUCUUUAUAAGGUCCCGGGGGUUAAAACCAUAAAAAUGUAAUAAACAUUAAAAAUCCAAAACCAUGUCAUUUCAAAGAAAAUUGAAUCCGCCUGUCAGCAGCAAACACAACAUCACUGACCUCUAAUGCCGCUGUCUGUCCCCAAGCCUCCAGAGACAUGGGGGGCCAUUAAGGGGGCGGUAGCAGCAGCAGCCUCCCCCUCGAAGGGUGCCCCCCCCACCUGGUGAGCCGGGAGGCAUCAGGGUGGCAUGGGGGCAGGACCUUCAGAGGACACUUUUCUUUGGGUCCCUCAGAUGUCGAGCCCACAUGGACUGGAAUUUGUGUUAGCUUGAUGUUUUCAGUUCUCUCUCUAUAGUUAAAUAUUUUAUCAGUCCAUUUGUCAUGUUUUGAGCCCACUUGUUACUGGAUUUCUUUCUGAACUAAUUUGCUGGUUUUUAAUCAUUUCUAUUGUGUUGUUGUUGUGAAUCUGUAUUGCUGUUCAUUGCCUUAGGCACAAUACAGAACUGUAUCUGUUACAAAUGAAUACAAUAUGUAAUUAAUACAUUUUCUCCUUCUGCUCCUACUUAUUUGAUUCCAAGUCUCUUCAGCCUCCUACAAAAUCCUACAACGGUUCCCUCGCCAGCCUUCCUACAAAUAGCACAUGUAUCCUAGUACUGAUCUGCACAACUUGUGACCCAUCAACCCACCAUGCAUGAUACAUCACUCCCACCGUCAUGCAAGAGCCGCUGCUGCUUAAAUUGGAACGUGUAGCUACGCUCCAAAGAAUUAGAGAGCUGGAGCUCUUCUUGGAAGCAACAGAGCACACCGUCUCCACCAAGGAGGAGACAGGGGACUCCCCUGAGAAGGAGGCUAGUUCACCAACACAGGAGAAACGUGAUUCAAAGAAGUAGGAGGCCCAGGGUUCGCUCUGAUUGUUUAGAAAUACACAAUCACUUUGAGGUCCUCUCCCCUAGCAUGGAAGAUGACGAGCAGACUCCAUUUGAGGAUCUCUCCCUCAUUACAGUCGAUCAGGUAUAUGAAGACAAGCAGCAAAGUCAGUCCUCAGGGAAUGUGCAGGCGACCUUGGAACGGACAGCUCACGGAAGAACCCCGACCAGACCUAAGAGGAGGCGUGUAGUGGUGAUAGGGGAUUCCCUACUGAGGGGAACAGAAGCAGUGAUCUGUUGGCCUGACAAGAUGUCUCGGGAAGUGUGCUGUCUCCCCGGGGCUAAGAUCCAAGAUGUAACUGAACGACUGCAAGGAAUCAUAAAACCCACUGACAAAUACCCCUUCCUCUUGGUUCAUGUGGGAACUAAUGACCCUGCAAGCAAUAGCCUCCAGAAGAUCAGAAGAGACUACGAGGCUCUGGGCAGGAAAUUGAAGCAAUUAAAUGCACAAAUUGUCAUCUCAUCUGUCCUCCCAGUUGAACGACGUGGCCCAGGGGGAGAGGGAAAAAUAGUGCAAAUGAACAGCUGGCUUCGCAAAUGGUGUAAACAGGAACGGUUUGGAUUCUUAGAUCACGGACUGCAGUUUCUUGAAGAUGGACUUCUGGCAAGUGAUGGGCUGCACCUUACAACGGUUGGGAGGAAUGUUUUUGCCAAAAAUCUCAGAAACCUCAUCAGGAGGGCUUUAAACUGACUAAUGUGGGGAGGGAGACAGUGCUCCUGAAGGUAGCAGUCUAUCAAUUGAUGAAGAUGAUCAUCCAAAUGUCAUAGACCAAAUGGAGCAAACAGCACACAGACCUAGUGGUGGGAGGAAAAAUCCUUAAUAAGAGACACGGGGGGAAUGAUUAAUGGACUUCAAUGUCUGUACACUAAUGCGCAAAGCAUGGGAAAUAAACAAGAUGAGCUUGAGCUCUUGGUACAGCAAACUAAAUAUGACAUAAUAGGCAUCACUGAAACCUGGUGGGAUAAGUCCCACGAUUGGAAUGUAAUAAUGGAGGGAUACAAUCUAUUUCAGAGAAACAGACCAGACAAGAAAGGAGGAGGAGUGGCGUUAUAUGUCAGGGAUGUGUAUACCUGUGAAGAGAUCCAAGAUUUAGAACCUCAAAGCCAAAGUGAGAGCAUUUGGGUCAAAAUUAAGGGAGAGAAGAAUAACAGUGACCUCAUUGUGGGAGUUUACUAUAGAUCCCCAAGCCAAACGGAGGACAUAGAUGAUGCCUUCCUGGAACAGAUGGCCAAGCAUGCAAAAGGAAGGGAGAUAGUAGUAAUGGGGACUUCAAUUACCCGGAUAUUUGUUGGAUGUCAAACUCAGCCAAGAGCAUAAGGUCAAACAGAUUCCUCACUGGCCUUGCAGACAACUUCAUUGUCCAGAAAGUGGGAGAAGCAACAAGAGGAACAGCCAUUUUAGAUCUGGUCCUAACCAAUGUUGAUGAGCUGGUUGGUGGGGUAGAAGUGGAAGGAUCAUUAGGCGCGAGUGAUCAUGCUCUUCUGAAGUUUACUAUACAGCGGAAAGGAGCAGCCAAGCAUACUAGGACUCAAUUUCUUGACUUUAAGAAAGCCGACUUCAUAAAACUUAGGGAAGCGCUGGGUGAGAUCCCAUGGACAGUAAUACUAAAAGGAAAGGGUGUUCAUGAUGGCUGGGAGUUUGUUAAGAGGGAGAUACUAAAAGCACAACGUCAGGCAAUACCAAUGAGACAGAAACAUGGAAGGUGCCUAAAGAAGCCAGGGUGGCUAUCUAAAGAACUUUUAACUGAGUUAAGAUUAAAAAGGAUGUGUACAAAAAUGGAAAAGGGGGAAACCACCAAAGAGGAAUUCAAACAAAUAGCCAGCACGUGUAGACACAAAGUCAGAAAAGCUAAAGCACAGAAUGAAGUCAGGCUUGCUAGAGAGGUUAAAAGCAACAAAAAGGCUUUUAUGGGUAUGUUCGUAGCAAAAGGAAGAACAAAGAAACAGUGGGAUCACUCAGAGGAGAAGAUGGUGAAAUGCAAACAGGGGACACAGAAAGGGCUGAACUCCUCAAUGCCUUCUUUGCCUCAGUCUUCUCCGAUAAAGAAAACAAUGCCCGACCUGAAGAAUUUGGAGCAAAUGAUUCAGCAGAGGAAACACAGCCUAGAAUAACUAAGGAGAUAGUACAAGAAUACUUGGCUAGUUUAGAUGUAUUCAAGUCUCCAGGGCCAGAUGAACUGCAUCCAAGAGUAUUAAAAGAACUGGCAGAUGUGAUCUCAGAACCACUGGCAGUCAUCUUUGAAAAUUCCUGGAGAACAGGCGAAGUCCCGUCAGACUGGAGGAGGGCAAAUGUUGUCCCUAUUUUCAAAAUUGGGAAAAGAGAGGACCCAAAUAAUUACCGUCCAGUCAGUCUGACAUCAAUACCAGGGAAGAUUCUGGAGCAGAUCAUUAAGCAAACAGUCUGUGAGCACCUAGAAAGGAAUGCUGUGAUCACCAAUAGUCAGCAUGGAUUUCUGAAAAAUAAGUCAUGUCAGACUAACCUGAUCUCGUUUUUUGACAGAAUUACAAGCCUGGUAGAUGAAGGGAAUGCAGUGGCUGUAGCCUACCUUGAUUUCAGCAAGGCAUUUGACAAGGUGCCCCAUGAUAUUCUUGUAAAGAAGCUGGUAAAAUGCGGUCUUGACUAUGCUACCACUCAGUGGAUUUGUAACUGGCUGACUGACCGAACCCAAAGGGUGCUCAUCAAUGGUUCCUCUUCAUCCUGGAGAAGAGUGACUAGUGGGGUGCCACAGGGUUCUGUCUUGGGCCCGGUCUUAAUCAACAUCUUUAUCAACGACUUGGAUGAUGGACUCAAGGGCAUCCUGAUCAAAUUUGCAGAUGACACCAAACUGGGAGUGGUGGCUAACACCCCAGAGGACAGGAUCACACUUCAAAACGACCUUGACAGAUUAGAGAACUGGGCCAAAACAAACAAGAUGAAUUUGAACAGGGAGAAAUGUAAAGUAUUGCACUUGGGCAAAAAAUGAGAGGCACAAAUACAAGAUGGGUGACACCUGGCUUGAGAGCAGUACAUAUGAAAAGGAUCUAGGAGUCUUGGUUGACCACAAACUUGACAUGAGCCAACAGUGUGACGCGGCAGCUAAAAAGCCAAUGCAAUUCUGGGCUGCAUCAAUAGGAGUAUAGCAUCUAGAUCAAGGGAAGUAAUAGUGCCACUGUAUUCUGCUCUGGUCAGACCUCACCUGGAGUACUGUGUCCAGUUCUGGGCACCACAGUUCAAGAAGGACACUGACAAACUGGAACGUGUCCAGAGGAGGGCAAGCAAAAUGGUCAAAGGCCUGGAAAUGAUGCCUUAUGAGGAACGGCUAAGGGAGCUGGGCAUGUUUAGCCUGGAGAAGAGGAGGUUAAGGGGUGAUAGGAUAGCCAUGUUGCAAUAUAUAAAAGGAUGUCACAUAGAGGAGGGAGAAAGGUUGUUUUCUGCUGCUCCAGAGAAGCGGACACGGAGCAAUGGAUCCAAACUACAAGAAAGAAGAUUCCACCUAAACAUUAGGAAGAACUUCCUGACAGUAAGAGCUGUUCGACAGUGGAAUUUGCUGCCAAGGAGUGUGGUGGAGUCUCCUCCUUUGGAGGUCUUUAAGCAGAGGCUUGACAACCAUAUGUCAGGAGUGUUCUGAUGGUGUUUCCUGCUUGGCAGGGGGUUGGACUCAAUGGCCCUUGUGGUCUCUUCCAACUCUAUGAUUCUAUGAUUCUAUGAAAUUUGACAUAAGGGAAGAAAACCAGGGCAGAGAGUAAAUAGGGGAAUGUUCUCCUUUCAGGUAUGUUGCUGCUUUUCAGGGAAGAAGAAGAAGAAGAAGAGUUUGGAUUUGAUAUCCCACCUUUCAGUCCCCUUCAGGAGUCUCAAAGCGGCUAGCAAUCUCCUUUCCUUCCUCCCCACAACAAACACUCUGUGAGGUGAGUGGGGCUGAGAGACUUCAGAGAAGUGUGACUGGCCCAAGGUCACCCAGCAGCUGCAUGUGGAGGAGCGGAGGCGCGAACCCGGUUCCCCAGAUUACGAGACUACCGCUCUUAACCACUACACCACACUGGCUCCAAUGCCAAAGAUGCAGACUGCUAGUGAUGGGGUUGAAAUGCUUCAGGGCAUUUCAAAGGAAGCCAGCUGGCAUGAUGAAGGUCUUCUGGGUGGAAGUUAAUCUAGACCUCAGGCAUAACAAAGGGUACUGUCAUCCAAGGGAAGAGGAGAGCUUCUAGACCCUCUUCCUCGCCUGCAAACGGCACUACCUUUGAGGAGGAUAGUUAAAGCAUCUAUCCCUCCCAACCUUUAACCCUGAAAUGAUUAUUACUGGGCCUUGGGAUUAACAAAGAUACAAAAUGCAAAUGCUCCUGCUAUUGAAUUUUGUGCUGACGUGUUGCUAUAACUUGUUUUGAUAUAAUUGAUUUUAGUGUUGACUGGUUUUACAGUUAUUGGUUUUCAUUUCUAUUUUGAUUACCCUUGCACAUAGCUCCAAGCAUUUUGAAAGACAUGAAUCAUAAAUUAUCAAAAUAAAACUAAUUCAAUGAAAUUAAGAAUUUCUUUACCAAGGUCAGUAGAUGUUAGGUAUCUCUAAUAUGCCACAGACUGCCAAGGCAUCUACUGGUUCACACAUUAACCAAAUGUUAUCCUCAUUAAACAUGUUAAACAAAAUGAACCAGCAUUAGUAUUAGUAUUAUUUUAAACACCACUUAGAGGUUUUCUUACAAUCAAGCAGUAUAGAAACAUUGUAAAAUAAAAAAAAUAAAAUUUAGCAAUACUUUAAAAUCAUGUUUGUUUACCAAAAUGAAAAAAAAGUAUUAUCUAACAAACUUCAAAAGGCCAUUGAUGAAGAGGAAUGGGAGAUUGGGAGAUGAACAAUAUGCAUAUGUAAUGAUUUCAAGCAACCUUUAUUAAUUGACAUAUUUGUAUUAAAAUUUAUAGAAUCUAAAUUUUAUAUAUUAAACCCUCAGCUAUUCUCAGCACCGCUCCGGUGGGAAGGUAAACAGCGUUUCUGUGCACUGCUCUGGUUUGCCAGAAGCGGCUUAGUCAUGCUGGCCACAUGACCUGGAAGCUGUCUUGGUCUAUAGAGCGAGAUGAGCAUGCAACCCCAGAAUCGUCCGUGACUGGACCUAAUGGUCAGGAGUCCCUUUACCUUUAUUCUCAGCACUGGCUUUCAAGAAGGAAACCAGAAUGUAAUGUUAUAGGUCUUCCAUCAGUUAAUGUGGCUCUGACAGGUGCCCAUGGCAAAACUAUUAAUGUUUCCUGUGGUAUCUUAAAAGUUAUGGCAAAAGUUGGAACAUGUUCAGAGGAGGGCGACCAAGAUGAUCAAGGGUCUGGAAAACAAACCUCAUGAGGAAUGGUUGAAGGAGUUGGGUAUGUUUAGCCUGGAAAAGAGGAGACUGGGAGGAGACAAAAGAACCAUCUUCAAAUAUCUGAUGGGCUGUCACGUGGAAGAGGGAGCAAGCUUGUUUUCUCCUGCUCCAGAGGGUAGGGCCUGAAUCAAUGGCUUCAAGUUACAAGAAAGGAGAUUCUGACUAAACAUCAGGAAGAACUUUGUGAAGAUGUGAACUGUUUGACAGUGAAUCUGUCUCCUUGGAAGAUGGUGGACUCUCCUUCCUUGGAGGUUUUAAAGCAGAGGAUGGGUGACCAUCUGUCAUGGAUGAUCUAGUAUGGAUUCCUGCAUUGCAGGGGGUUGGACUACAUGCCUCUUGGGUUCCCUUACAAUGCUACAGUUCUCCCUUGAAAGACUCUGUGGACAAUCUACCAGGAAAUGCUCCCAUUGAAUUGAAAGGUAGAUAUGCAAGAGCAUUUCUUGGUAGACCUUUCAAGUGAUUUUAGCUGUGUGCUCUUAAUACUCUUAAUAUCGUCAAUCAAACUUUUCAAAGUGUUUCUAAAGUAAUCUCAGUUCCAAGGUUCCAAAUUGUAUCUAUCUGAAAAGGCAUUCUUUUAAUUUAAUAUCAGAUAUUUUUUGUUAUCCCAUACAUAGUUCAUGAUCAUCGGGGGGGGGGGUUAAGCCUAAAAUACUAUUAUUCAGUGUUGAGAAGAAUGUAUUAAUAGCAGAGCAGUUGUUCACAUAUUCCUUCUGAAAAAAAUCUAGUUAAAAUCAAUUGGUAAAUAGUCUGAGAGAAGAACUGUGUGCAUUUGCUAGCCAAAUUAAUUUUGCUUAAUUAUGCUACAACCCUACAUGUUCUUUGUUACGUUUGCAACCAUUCAAGUUAUCCCGAACUAGCAUUUCCACAAAUGAGAUAACUAUCUACCUUGCUGUUGACUACACAGCCAGUUAGCAAUCAAACUGCUGUGUAGAUAAGAAUAAGUAAAAUAUAAUUACUUCUCUUUAAAGCUACCCUUAGCUAGAACUUUAGGGUGCAUUAAGAAGAGAUUAUUUUUUUAAAAAAAUAGCAGCAGCAGCAGUAGUAUCUACAUUGUGGAAACUCGCUCACAUCAUGUAUAGUCUUUCCCCCUGGGUGUAACAGAAAAGAAUGCUGCCUCAAAGCCUGGAUCAUGGCUUCUACCUGCAGCAGAUUUUGUGGAGAGGGAGGGGAGGGGCAGGGUUGGCAUGGUGGUCAUCCCUACAGAGGAUUGUGACCACAAGGUUAAACCCAUAGCUGCCCCUCUUUGGCCUUUUUUCCAUUUAUGGCACCCAUCUCUCCUCUAGUAUAGUGCAGAUCCAAACUACAGGUCGAUUGCAACUUACACUGAUUUUACUUUGCAUGACCGCAGCUUUACACGAAUUGCCAAUCAAUCAUUCAGGGUUGGAGACCUCGCUUACCAGGCUCUGAAGGCUCUCACAAGGUUUUCCCUUUGCAGAAGAGCUUUGUAAGCCCUCUGUCUUGCUCACAGAGCUCUGGGGUGUGAGCCUCUCUGAGGUCUUGUGGCACCAUAUGAGAUCUUGCAAGAUCUUGGGUGGUUCUGAUUUCCUGCAAAACCCCCCAGGAAUGUAAACCCUGUAGUUGCUUUGGAGCCGAGUAGAAAUUUUGGGCUGACUGCAUUUUGGCAUGUUCCCACCCCCUCUCCUACUCUGCACCAUAGACCAGAGGGGAGGAAAGCACAAACAGCAGGGUGAUUGCAAUGUACUUGAGGGUUAGGUUCUCAGGGGUGCUGUUAGUUAUGUAAAUUGUGUGAGAGAUUUGCAGUCAAACAUAACAAUGCUAGUUAGUAUAUGAAGGGGUUAAGAACCAUAGAGUUCCAAAUUUCUAGAGUAAGUACAGUGAUAUCACAUACCCUCUUCUCCUGAGAGGAAGGAAGCUAAGCUUCUUUCUGUUCAUUCUCUCCCUCCCUUCCUCCUCUCCACACUGCAAGCAAGGGGGAAGGCAUGCCUCAACCUAGCUCCCAGUGUCAGAUGCGUGUCUGAGGCUGCUUUUGCUGAAUUUCAAGUACAGUACAUUGAUUACCUGCAUUAUCUUAUUGCUGUUGCAUGAAGUACAAUGCAUGACUCUGACCCCUAUUAAGUAAGUAAAUUAAACUUACUUCAGAAUGUUGUCUGUUUCACUGCAGGAUGGGAGAGGGACAGCUGCAUCAAGCAGAUGGAAUGGGAUAAAAGAAGUUUUGAAACCCAUUACUAGGUUUCAUUAAUCUGCCUAACAAUGAGAUUUAAAUUCUGCUACUGGGGCUCCUUGGGACGCGGGUGGCGCGAUUGGCAAGCCUAGGACUUGCCGAUCAGAAGGUCUGUGGUUCGAAUCCCGCAACGGGGUGAGCUCCAGUUGCUCGGUCCCUGCUCCUGCCAACCUAGCAGUUUGAAAGCACAUCAAAGUGCAAGUAGAUAAAUAGGUACCGCUCCGGCAGGAAGGUAAACGGCGUUUCCGUGUGCUGCUCUGGUUCGCCAGAAGCGGCUUAGUCAUGCUGGCCACAUGACCCGGAAGCUGUAUGCCGGCUCCCUCGGCGAGAUGAGCGCCGCAACCCCAGAGUCGUCUGCGACUGGACCUAACGGUCAGGGAGCCAGUGUGGUGUAGUGGUUAAGAGUGAUAGACUCGUAAUCUGGGGAACCGGGUUCGCGUCUCCACUCCUCCAUCUGCAGCUGCUGGGUGACCUUGGGCCAGUCACACUUCUUUGAAGUUUCUCAGCCCCACUCACCUCACAGAGUGUUUGUUGUGGGGGAGGAAGGGAAAGGAGUAUAUUAGCCGCUUUGAGACUCCUUUGGGUAGUGAUAAAGCGGGAUAUCAAAUCCAAACUCUUCUUCCUCUUCACCUUUACUGGGGCUCUUUAUGUGCUAGCUCUGCAAUUUGAAAAACAGGUACCAGCCAUUUUUCCUUUCCUUAUCCUACAUAUGUGGGUUCUGUAGAGGAUUAAAUAUAAUCAACAUAUCCUCUUACUAAUUCCCAUUAAGUUGGUCACAUUUGGAUUGCAGCUCAGGGCUGUGGGAUCCAUGGGAAGAAUAUGGCGCACCUCUGAGACUAAUACAUACCCUCCAGCAGCCAAUUAGAGAAGGGAAUGAGACAUAUAAGGUCUUGAUGUGCAGCAUGAAACCAAAGAUAAAAUACAGGCUCUACAGUGGCUUGCUAAAUGUUUGUAGUAUUUCACAUUACACUUUCACAUUAUGAAACUUUAUUUCAUAACAUACUGAUAUUGAAGUAUGAUCAAAAUUGUGCAAUUCAUAGUGUGGGGAGUAAACAAGAAAAACAAAAUCUAACUUUUGCACUUGGGGCAAACUGAAAUAAUAUUCAAUUGAUGAUGUAAUGAUUUGUGUAUCCCUAUCCCUACCUGAGUAGGUAGACCUCGUUGGUAUAGGAUUGCAACUUAAAUAUCAGGAAGACAGGUCAAGCCUUAUUUCAAAUAGAAAUUUCUAUUUUUAUUUUUUUAAAAAAUGCUUUUAUUGAAACAUUUUCAUGGAUAACAAUUCUACAUAUAGUGUCUCUGUUUUCAGUUCAGAGAGUCGUUUUUGCAGGUCAGUUGCAUUUGGUGUGACACACCUGAUAUCAUAGGCAUUGUGAGUUUGGUGGGGAGAAAAAGGCAGGGAGAGAAGGGGGUUGUGUUCUUUCCUUCUUUUGCAUAGGGUACGUGUGGAGUUUUGUGUCAGCAUUGCCUGGAUAGGUUCAUUAUCUAUUCAUUUGUUUGUUUUUGUUGGUAGUAUGGGAGAUUGGGGAUCCCAGAGCAUGGUUGGUUGCAUUUGAUUGGUUGCAGUGAAUUUUGUUGUAUGUGAGGGGGACGGGUUUCUUGGGUCAAAUUAGACAUAUUGAUUGGUAUGCUGUUGGGGAGGUUGUCUAUGUUUUUGUGUUGCUGGGCUGUAUAUGUAAUAAGGGGAAGCCAUACCAGGGUGAAGGCAUCCUCUUUUGUUUGUCCUCAUGCUAACUUCAAUUUGUUGGUUAGCUUUUCUAGUAAGGCUGGUUCCCAUACACUUUGGUACCAGUGGUCCAUGUUGACUCCUGACAAGUUGACUCCAGUGUCUAGUUAUGUGGCUUCUAGUAGGUGGCUUAUGAAUUCUUUGUAGUGUGAGUGUGCAUUGUUGUCUUGGAAAAGUUCUGGGCCAGUUCUGGAAUUGCUUCUAAUCCCUGUUUUGUUAUUUUGUGGAUUUCUUGUAGGACUGAUGUGCAAAAGUGUUGAAUUUUAUGGCAUUCCCACCACAUGUGGAAGUUUGUGCCUGUGGUGGUGCUGCCUCUCCAGCACUUUGGUGAGGUUCCUGUGUGUAUCAGCGCCAGCUUCCAUGGUGCUAGAUACCAUCUAUAGAUAAGUUUCGAGCUUCUUUUAGCUGAGAUGAAUAUAAAGGGUGAUUUUGUCUUCUGGGAUAUAUGGGAUUAUGUGGCACACAUGGUUGGCGAUGUAGUAUAGUUCUAUUUUGGGAAUUCCCAUACUCCUGAUGAAGGGAGGUGCUUGGAGCUUUGUGUGUAAAGUUAAAUGCAUGUAGUCUUUACAGAGUUGGGUUGAUAAAUUUCUAUUUCUGUUUCUGUUUCUAUUUGUCAUGUGAGUCCUCACCUGCCACCUGAAGUGAUACAGUUCUAUGGCAGGUUUACUAUACCACUGAAAACUAAAUGUUAAUGGUUUUCUGAUUUUAAGGCUGUGUACACGCUCACAUUUACUCUGCCCCCAGUGCACUCCCAGAGCUCUUUUGGGAAGUGGUGUAUACACAGUGUUAGCCACAACCUACAUUGAUCAUGGAUCUAUCCUGUAGUUUCUUAGGUUAAUGCGUCCCCCCCCCCAACUUUGAUCUAAAUUGAGAAAAAAAAUGCAGCUAGGUCAUUCUAAGUGGGUAAUGUGUAUACAGGCAAAAUGUGUUCAUUAACUAUUCCAUUUUUUAUGACAAACUGAUGUGUUCAGCUGGAAGGGAAAGAAAGGGAAAAAAAGAGAUUGAUAUUUAGAGGAAAACUAAGGAGAAAAGAGAGUGAUCUAAGAAUAAAUGUCUUUAGGGAACAUGGAUCAUGUUACUGUGCCAUUCAAAAACCUCAGCAUGAUUUAAGCCUUUAGUUAUUUCCAGUAAUACAUUGAGCAUGAGCUGCGCCUUUAGAUAUAUUUGCAACAAUUCAUUGAACAUGCUCUGGUAAUCUCUUGCUUCUCAACUUGCCUUCUUGUGUGCCUCAGCAUCAUGUGUGAUCACAACUUUCGUCCAUUCAGUUGAAGACACUCAUCAUUCACAAAGAGACAGCAGACUGACAGUUUGUGAGUACCAUGAUAGCUUUUAGUCAGAUUUUAACUAUUAAUUGAGAAUGGGAUUUUUACUUGGGAGGUCAGCAAGGAUUGGCUUAUUUUUAGCGCUCUCGCUCUCUCUCUGUUUUAGAAGUAACACAAAUUGUACGUAAUUUGAGGCAGAAUUAAUGUGCUUAUUGUAGAAAGGGAUGACAGAAACCAAGGGUGUUAACAUCUAGCCCCAGAUAGUAACCUCAGAAAACAAGGUUACAAAGUUCUGCAGACUCAAUGUGAAGUGAUCAUCUGUGGGUGACAGUGACCUAGUAUGGCCCCAGAUUCGCGCAAACAUAGCUAUGGAGCUAUGAAAGGAACAUUUCAUACAAAGAUUACCAUAAUAAAGGACAAAAGUGGUAAGGACCUAACAGAAGCAGAAGACAUCAAGAAGAGGUGGCAAGAAUACACAGAGGAAUUAUACCAGAAAGAUAUGUAUGUCUCGUACACCCCAGGUAGUGUGGUUGCUGACCUUGAGCCAGACAUCCUGGAGAGUGAAGUCAAAUGGGCAAAUUGCAAACAUGCGCUGGAUUAUGGAGAAAGCUAGAGAGUUCCAGAAAGACAUCUACUUCUGCUUCAUUGACUAUGCAAAAGCCUUUGACUGUGUCGACCACAGCAAACUACGGCAAGUUCUUCAAGAAAUGGGAGUGCCUGAUCACCUCAUCUGUCUUCUGAGAAAUCUCUAUGUGGGACAAGAAGCUACAGUUAGAACUGGAUAUGCAACAACUGAUUGGUUCAAAAUUGGAAAAGGAAUACAACAAGGCUGUAUAUUCUCUCCCUGCUUAUUUAACAUAUGCAGAAUUCAUCAUGGUUAGUUCCAGAACCUCUUUUUCUAGAAAAAUAGCCCUGGUCAGACCACAGAGCCAUAUAAAGUGGGUGUUUAUCAUCCCAGCCUUGAAGGACAUGCAGGAUCCACUUCUGCUGCCCCAACUCCACAGAAAUAUAGAACAUCUGCACAUAUUAAGGAUUAUUCCAGAACAAAAUUACGGUAAUUUGAACAAUGUUUCUGGCCAGAAAAAAACAAACAAACCAGGACAUGCCCACAAUAUAUGACUCAAAGAGGCAUUAUCAGCAUUACAUGAUAUCUGAACUAGCCAGCUCUUUCCUAUGGAGCCCAGUAUACCUGGAUCAUAUAACUGAUGAGACAUUAUAUCCCAUUGUGUGUGUGUGUGUGUGUGUACAAACACACAUAUUAGAAAUGGGGCUCACUGCAAAGUCUCUGCUUGCUUAGUGCUCAUGGUUCUCAUCCUGCUGGAUCAGUUUGUUUCAUUUCUUUCUUUCUUGUUCUUUUUUUAUUAAAGAUUUUGUUGAUUUACAAAAGUGUGCAGUGUCUCUCGUGUUUUUCCCCCCAUGUAACAUUUUUACAAAUCAUUUUCAUUUGUUGAGACAUUAGGAAGAAAAGGGGGAAGGAGGUGGGGGGGAGAGAUGGGUGAGAGAGGGGUUGGGUGGCGAUGUUUCUAUUUCACUUACUAUAUGUAGGAUUUGGUGUCAGCGUUAUUUUAUUUCUAAAAGUGAAUAAAGUACGAAAAGGAUAGGUAAAAGAGAGUGGAAAGUCUGGGGCGAAAUGGCAGUCCCAGGAAAUGGCCUGUGUUGGUUCAGGGCUCUUUUCUGGGUUGUUGUUGUUGUUUAGUCGUUUAGUCAUGUCCGACUCUUCGUGACCCCAUGGACCAGAGCACGCCAGGCACUCCUGUCUUCCACUGCCUCCCGCAGUUUGGUCAGGCUCAUGUUUGUAGCUUCGAGAACACUGUCCAACCAUCUCGUCCUCUGUCGUCCCCUUCUCCUUGUGCCCUCCAUCUUUCCCAACAUCAGGGUCUUUUCCAGGGAGUCUUCUCUUCUCCUGAGGUGGCCAAAGUAUUGGAGCCUCAACUUCACGAUCUGUCCUUCCAGUGAGCACUCAGGGCUGAUUUCCUUAAGAAUGGAUACGUUUGAUCUUCUUGCAGUCCAUGGGUACUGGACUGGGUACUGCCAUUUUAAUUCUUAAGAGGAGAGUUUUAGGUGAAAAUAAAAUAAGGUAUAAAUUGGGGGGGUGGAAAAGUGUGUCUUUAAAUAAUGUGUAAAAAGGGUAAAAAUAAAAGUAAAAAUUCAAAUAAAGGGUGGCUGCAGCAGCAGUCGUCCCCUUUUAAAAAGAAAACGAUAAAAGUAGGUAUAUGGGGGAAUAAAAACCUUUCCCCUAAAUUUCCCUUUAAUUAAUAAAAGGGGGAGGAAGGGGUUAAAAAGAAAAGGGGUUUAAAAAAGUAGUUUCUUCCUUUCUGCGAUCUCCUUUGUCAUGCGGCCUUCCUCUGUUUCCAAGCGUUAGCUGCUGGAGGGGUAGGCUCUGUUCGGGCUCAGCCACGUGUUCUUUUGGAGCCUCUCCUGCCCUCCCAGUGCGCACCUACCUCCCCUCUUCUUUCCCGUCAGCGGCAGCGAUGGGGGCAGCAGCGGUAAAGCUGGGGCUCCUUUUUCUUUCUUUCUUUUUCUUCCUCUUUCGCCCUUUCUUUCUCCCUCUUUGUGUUAGCUCCACUGUCCUCCUGGUCCUGGAGCUCCUCUGGGCUGUUGGGUGGGUGGCCGGCCGGGUGCCUUCCUGGCUCAAUCAAGGUCAUGGGAGGGGGGUGUUUUGGCUCCUCCGAUAGACGCACCGGGCACCCCCGAUUCCUCUCCGCUGGCAGUGCUGGCGGCAGCAGUCCUGGCAGCCCGGGAGUCAGCCAGACAGAGCUGUUUACUCUGGCUGGCUUCAGGAACUGUUUUCUGCCAUUGCAGCCGCCAUGAUUCCUCACCGGAAGUUCCUUGUUUCAUUUCUUUUGAAAAUACACCUGUAAACUAUGUUAAAAAAAAUGAAAUACAGUGGUACCUCAGGUUACAUAUGCUUCAGGUUACAGACUCUGCUAACCCAGAAAUAGUGCUUCAGGUUAAGAACUUUGCUUCAGGAUGAGAACAGAAAUCGUGCUCUGGCGGCGCAGUGGCAGCAGGAGGCCCCAUUAGCUAAAGUGGUGCUUCAGGUUAAGAACAGUUUCAGUUUGGGGACUUCCGGGUUGGCGCCAUCGGUAAUGGCGGAUUCCCUCUGAGUUUCUGAGGGACCAGCUCCGCGGGAUCGGGUCUGACCGCUACGGCGAAGUGGGGACCCUUCAAAAAUCACAGGCGGGUGAAGCCUGUGAACGUGGGGACUCGGCGGGCACCUUUUGCGCCCCCCCCAAACUGCGAAGGGACCCUUUUACGGGCUCCGGAGCGAGACGGGGUGAGCGGCGCGGUGCUGAGAGUCGACUGCUUCUUCCGCGGAGUGAAGCCACACAGCCGUUAUCGGAGAGUGCUGACAUUUUCCUGGGACAAUUUGACUUUGAAAGUAACUACCCGUGAGUAGGAUAAAAUUGGAUUUAAAGGGAAAAAUAACUUAAUUCGGCACCGAAGUGGGAAAGCAUAAACAGGAAGUCCGCCUUCCGUUCUUGUAAACAGAUCAAAGCAAAGAGCCUGUAAGUGGAAACUUUGAAAGACGUUUGAAAAAAGACUUAAAUCCUAACAUCAGAAAAGCGAUCUCCCCUCCAGAUUGCAGGAGAGGAGGGGGGAAAGGUUUGAACUGUAUUUAUCUGCAAAAAAAAAGAGGGAAAGGAAGCUAAAAUCCACCGCUUAGAACCUGGGAACGGACUGCCCUGAGACAAGGAAUGCCGCUCUGUGAAAAGCACUAUCGGUAAACAGAGUACUUUUGACAGCUAACUCUGCAAGAGAGAUACAGUGUUUCUGGACUUCUCCUGGCUUUAAAGUAACUGAUUAAGUGCAAUUGAAACUGUAUUUUUUUUUUUUGUGAACUGGGGGAUUUAUAAGGACUACUUCUUUUUAAAGUUGCAAUCUUUGACUGUUACUGUGUCCCCGCGCGGAGGUUUGAUAUUGCUACAAUAACAACUGGGCUAGGGGAAUUUUCCAUUUCAAAACAAAUUCUAGCCAUGGGAUUGACCUUGGAUUUCUAUGAGAGUGUUAUGGCAGAUGGAAGAGGAAAGUUAGAGUUGAUUCAGGAAAAAACUACUAGGUCUGGCAGACCCUAUCGGACAGAUACUGCAUCGCAGCGAAGAGCUUCAACAUCUGGUCCUUCUGGACCAUCUGGAUUAUCAGGGGCUGCACCCCCAGAAGUUAAACCAAAAGUAAUGUCGUCUGAAGACGUUUUGGCUCUGGCACUAGGAAAAAUUAAUGAAUCUUUGGAAAAUUUAACUAAACAAGUAGCUGAAACUAAACAAAUAAACAAGUUGCUGAAGCAUCAGUUAAAAUUGACCAAAAUACUACAAGUAUUAAUAAUUUGGGACAGAAGUUGAACACCAAUACAGAGACUAUUGAGAAAUUGUUACAGGAAUCUGCUUUGACUUGAAAGACAGCCGAAGAAGCAAAAGACAUAGCAACUGCUACUCAAGAGAAGAUACCACCGAUAUGUAGGCAACUCGAGGACCACGGUUUGACAUUGUCUAUGAUUGAAUUGAAGGAGAAACAAAGGAAUUUGAGAAUCAGGGCUGUACCAGAACUUGAGAAAGAUAACUUGACUGACUUUCUUACGCAGGAGUUUGCAGACUUCUGGCAACAGGAUUUGGGGAAGGAAGAAUUUAAGAUAGUGAGCGCAUUUAGACUUGGCAGAGGAGGAAGGAAGAACAAGGUGAGAGACUGUUUGAUUACCCUUCGAACAAAAGAGGAGAGAGACAAAAUCUUGAAUCUGCACUUCCGAAAGACUUUGGAAAUACAUGAGUCAAGUGUGGAGAUAUUUAAGGACAUUCCAAAACAUCUCUUGGAUUUAAGAUCUAACUACGGAGAUUUGGUCGCCCUGCUGAGAAGCAACAGAAUCAUUUUUAGGUGGGAAUUUCCCAAGGCCUGUCCUUUAAAUAUAAAGGAAGAAAGAUAAAAAUAAGAUCAGUCGAUGACAAGGAUAGAUUUUUGAAAGACUACGGAGAAGACUUACAGAAAGAAGUGGAAUCUGGAGAAGAGCCAAGAGCACUGGAAAGAGGAAUAUUAGAUAUAGCAAAUUUAUCUUUUGGAUUGCAUGGUUCAGAGAAAGUGACAUCACCGACAGAACAAGAACAAGCACUUGGCGCAGUUGGAGGUAAAGUAAAGUAAUCACAUCAUGGCUCUGCAACUAUUAAGUUGGAAUUGUAAUGGCCUCAACUCUCCUCGGAAAAGGAAAAGUGUUUUUCAUUUGUUAAAAAAGGAACAAUUGGACUUGAUUUGCUUACAGGAAACACACGUGAUAAGGCUACAUAGGAAAGUAUUGAUUAACAAGAAAUUGGGACAGGAGUUUAUUUCAUCUGACAAAGUUAAAAAAGAGGAGUAGUGAUUUAUGCAAAGGAGAGACUAUCACCGAAAUUCAUUUUUAAAGAUGAUCAAGGAAGAUUUGUGGCAAUUGAAAUUCAAGUUCAAGGAGAGAAAUUUUUGAUAGUAGGAAUUUAUGCACCGAAUGAGGGGAAAUCUGAAUUCUUCAAAAAGUUGCAUGAGACCUUAAUGGACUAUUUGGAUUACAAUCUGAUCUUGAUGGGAGAUAUGAAUGGAGUAGUAUCUACAAAUAUGGAUAAGGCACAAAGACAGGUAGUCACAAAGGAUGGUAGACUACCGAAAACAUUUUUUUGAGAUGACAGACAACCUGGACUUAGUUGAUACUUGGAGAACAAAGAAUCCCUUGGGAAGAGAGGGAACUUUCUUUUCUGAAGCCAAGAUGACAUGGACUAGAAUUGACCAAAUAUGGGUAACUAGAGGAAUGGCACCAAAGAUAAAGAAAGUGGAAAUUUGUCCAAAAACCUGCUCCGACCACAAUGCUGUAAGGAUGGAGAUGAAACUAAUAUCAACUGGCUCCUUCAGAUGGAGGAUGAAUGACACCUUAUUCAGAGAUGAACAAGUGUAUAAAAGGCCCAAAAAACCUUGAGGGACUAUUUUGAGAUAAAUAUGAACACUAAGGUUGAAAAAAGAGUAAUCUGGGACGCAAGCAAAGCGGUUAUGAGAGGGUUCCUGAUACAACAGAAUGCAAUAAAGAAGAGAAGCCAAAAUGAGAAGAAAUAUAAAAUUUUGGAGAAAAUAAAAGAAAGUGAGAAGAAAUUGAGAGCAAAACCAAAGUCGCAGGAGAUUUUGAGAGAAAUAAAGUUAUAUCAAGUACAAUAUAUGGAAAUGAUGAAUCAGGAAAUAGAAUGGAAAAUUAAACAAAUGAGACAAAAACAUUUGAAUCAGCUAAUAAAUGUGGGAAAUUGCUGGCCUGGCAAAUGAAAAAAAGACAAAAAUUAAAUACUAUUACAAAUUUAGAAGUGGAAGGAAAAAACAUACAUAACCCAACUGAGAUUAGAAACUGUUUCCAGAGGUAUUUUAAACAAUUAUAUACACAAGGGCCACAGAAAGAAAUGGACAUAGACCGAUUUUUGAAGACAAAUGGAUUACAAAAAAUCUCUCAAGAAAGUAAAUUAAUGUUGAAUUAUAAAAUAUCUGAACAGGAAGUAGAAGGUGCCAUUCAAAAUAUGCAAUUGGGCAAAUCUCCAGGACCGGAUGGGCUGACUUCUAGAUAUUAUAGAUCCUUGAAAGAGUGGUUAGUACAACCUUUAAAGGAAGUCUGCAAUGAAAUAUUGGAAGGGAAAAGGGCACCAGAGUCGUGGAAAGAAGCGUAUAUUACACUUAUACCGAAAACAGAGACUGAAAAGACUCAGCUGAAGAACUACCACCCAAUAUCAUUACUUAACGUGGAUUACAAAAUUUUUGCAGACAUUUUGGCCAAGAGAUUGAAAAAAGUGUUGAUGGAAGAGAUUCAUAAGGAUCAAGCGGGCUUUCUCCCGGGAAGACACUUGUCUGACAAUUUGAGGAAUAUAAUUGAUAUUUUGGAAAAACUAGAAGUGAACAUAAAUACUAAAGCAGUUUUGAUAUUUGUGGACGCGGAGAAAGCUUUUGAUAAUAUCUCUUGGAGUUUUAUGACGAAGAACCUACAGGGGAUGCGGGUAGGCCAAGGCUUUGAAAACGGUAUAAGUGCAAUUUAUUCAGAACAAAAGGCUAAACUAAUUGUAAAUAAUGUAGUGACGGAAGAAUUUAAGAUAGAAAAAGGGACACGACAAGGUUGCCCAAUUUCCCCAUUGCUUUUUAUAUCGGUCCUGGAGGUUUUGCUGAAUAUGAUUAGAAGGGACCAGUUGGUUAAAGGUAUACAAGUCGGAGCUAAACAGUACAAAUUGAGAGCAUUUGCAGAUGACUUAGUAUUGACAUUACAGGAGCCAGAAUCUAGUACUAAAAGGGUUUUAGAACUGAUUCAAGAAUUUGGUCAGGCUGCAGGAUUUAAACUGAAUAAGUUAAAAACCAAGGUAUUAGAGAAAAACUUAACACCGAUUGAGAGAGAGAGGUUUCAGAAUGAGACAGGUUUGACAGUGGUUAAGAAAGUGAAAUACCUGGGGAUUAAUAUGAGAGCAAAAAAUGGGAAUUUAUUUAAAGACAACUAUGAAAAAUGCUGGGCCGAAGUGAAAAAAGAUUUAGAAAUUUGGUCAAAUUUGAAGCUUUCACUGUUGGGUCGUAUUGCUGCGAUAAAAAUGAAGGUAUUGCCUAGAAUGUUGUUUUUGUUUCAAACAUUGCAAAUCGUGGACAAAAUGGAUUGCUUCAAGAAGUGGCAGAGAGACAUUUCUAGAUUUGUCUGGCAGGGCAAGAAGCCCAGAAUAAAAUUUAAGAUAUUAACUGAUGCAAAGGAAAGGGGUGGAUUUGCCCUGCCAGACUUUAAACUUUACUAUGAAUCAGCAACUUUCUGCUGGUUGAAAGAAUGGCUGCUUCUUGAAAAUACAGACAUUUUGGAUUUAGAAGGUUUUAACAACGUAUUUGGAUGGCAUGCAUAUCUGUGGUAUGAUAAGGUCAAAGCACAUAAAGCAUUCAAGAAUCAUAUUGUCAGGAAAGCAUUGUUUAAUGUUUGGAUGAGAUACAAGGAUUUAUUGGAAAAUAAAACCCCAAGGUGGCUGUCACCGAUGGAAGCGAAAGCUCUGAAAAGGCUCAAUAUGGAGGCCAAAUGGCCAAAAUAUUGGGAAAUUUUGGAACAAGAUGGAGAUAGACUGAAAUUACAGAGUUUUGAAAAAUUAAAAAAAUAAAGUGCGAGACUGGCUUCAUUAUUAUCAGAUAAUGGAGGCAUAUAAUUUGGACAAGAAAAUUGGCUUCCAGGUGGAAAAAUCAAAAUUGGAAACAGAACUGUUAGAACCCAAAACUAAGAAUUUGUCAAGAAUGUAUAACUUGCUGUUGAAAUGGAAUACUCAGGAUGAAACGGUGAAAUCUGCUAUGAUUAAAUGGGCACAAGAUGUUGGACAUAACAUAAUGAUGGCUGACUGGGAACAGUUAUGGACCACAGGUAUGAAGUUUACGGCAUGCAAUGCCUUAAGAGAGAAUAUUAUGAAAAUGAUAUACAGGUGGUACAUGACCCCAGUCAAGCUUGCAAAAAUCUAUCAUUUGCCCGAUAAUAAAUGUUGGAAAUGUAAAGAAACUGAAGGUACAUUCUUUCACCUUUGGUGGACGUGCCCAAGGAUUAAGGCUUUCUGGGAGAUGAUCUAUAAUGAAUUGGAAAAGGUAUUUAAAUAUACCUUCUUGAAGAAACCAGAGGCCUUUCUCCUGGGCAUAGUCGGCCAAUUGGUGCUGUCAAGGCUGCCUCAAGUCUUAGCUCACAAAAGACCAACGCCUACGUCUUCUUGUAUACAAAGGUGUUUAUUGCAGUUCAUGGUUUGCUUGACAUCCAAGGCGCGCAGCCUUACGUCUCUUACGCUAGAUCGCCGAAGUCCCCUCUGAGUCAGUCCCUCCUCUGCACCAAUUUAAGAGACUUGCGCUGCUCCACCUCUUUCUCUCCUUCCUUUUCCGCAGGGUCCUUCUGCCCCCUGGGGUUGCGCUCUUCUGGAUUCCUCUGACGCGGAAUCAGACUGCUCUUCCCCCCCUCCUGCGGGCUUUGGGACCUGGCCCCUCCUCCGGACUCCCUGCACUUCCGCGCGCCUCUACAUUUGAACUAGGCGCGCGUGCCAAACCUCUAACUUUCCUUUUGACAGUUACACUACUCCCUUCACUGCUCCCCUCCACUUCCGGGAGGGCGGCUUGCUCUGACCCCCCUCCUUUCUCUGCUGCUGGAGCUGCUUCCUCUGACACACUGGAAACUCCACCACCUUCACUGCACUUUGGUGGGGAGGCUGGUCCUGACGCCCAGCUGCCACUUUGGGAUCCUCCGCUGGCACCCUGUUCCUGACACUUCCCCCCCUGGGGCUCCCUGGCCCUGACCACCGGCGCCCCUUCUGGGAAUCCUCUGAUUCGCUGGAAAGACUCAUGGAAUCCCUUGAGUCAUUGUCAUCCUCUUCCUCGCUGGCUUGGAAUUCCUCCCCCUCGCUCUCCAUCUCCUGCCUACCCUGUGCCUCUCUCUCUGAACCCCUGACAGGUGCCAAAGAAGGAUAGAACUUUUUUUAUGUAUGCAACAGCAGCAAGAAUACUCAUCGCGAAGUAUUGGAAGACACAAGACCUACCCACUCUGGAAGAAUGGCAGAUGAAGGUGAUGGACUAUAUGGAACUGGCGGAAAUGACUGGCAGAAUCCGAGACCAGGGAGAAGAGUUGGUGGAAGAAGAUUGGAAGAAAUUUAAAGACUAUCUACAGAAAUAUUGUAAAAUUUAUGAAUGUUAGAAUGAUGUUGGAUAGAAAAUAAGUGGUUUUCAGCUGUAAUACUAUAAGGGAAUAUGAAAAAUGGAUUAUUAAUAGGUAAAAAUUUAACGUUACAAUAUUUUAAGAUUAAAGACUAGGAUAUACAAAGAGGGGAGGGAUUUGCUGAACCAACAAACCGAACUGGAAUACAAAAAAGGGAGGCGCGAGGAGGUCCGGGAAACAAGCUAAUGAAAAAUAAGUAAUGGAAAGAUUGAGUUGUUUUUAACCAUUUUUAUUUUGUAUUUUCUUCUUUUUUAUUUUUAUUUUGUAAUAUUUUGAAAAUCUUAAUAAAUAUCUUAUAAAGAAAAGAGAACAGUUUCAGGUUAAGUACGGACCUCUGGAACGAAUUAAGUACUUAACCUGAGGUACCACUGUAAAAUACUGUGAAGCACAUGAAUUGUCUGUUGCAACACAUUCAUCUUAAGUGUGUUUCCUUACACCAAAUACAAAGUCUAAGUAAUCUGUCUUUUCAGAUUGAACCACUCUCCCAAUAUCUCUGAGACAAAAUGCCAGUGCAAAUUCAGCUUUAGCUGAAAGUAAAUUAUUCAAUUCAUAUUUACCACAUUAAACUAUUUAGCACAAUAAAGAUCUGGGAAAGGACAUGUUGCUAUUUGAUUCAAUAAAGACCACCAUUUUAUCUGAAUUGUUUUCUUGUGAAGCCCUAUGCUACUUCUCAUAAUACUGUUAGGUGUACGCCAAGGUCCUUCUCCUCAUAUAGGCAUUACGAGUGAAGGGUACAAAGUGGUCUGUAACGCAGGCUCAAAAAUAUUCUGAAUUUUUUCAGCAGGAGAUCAUACAAACCUAUUCAGCCCUUGGCAUAACUUCAUAUGAUCACGAUCAAACUAUUAAUCUAUUUGCCAAUCUGUUGAAUGACCUCACGUCAUUCUUUUCUGUCCCAACCCACCAGGCAAAUUGGGCCCACCCCAAGACAGGUGCUCCGUGGUUUAACCGUAAUUGCAAACAAGCCAAACAACACCUUUGUGCUAUUUAUAAUGAUUACAAAUCCUCAGGGGCGAUUACGCUUCCCAAGGAGUACUAUCAGGCAAAAUCAGCUUACAAAUAUGUGCAGAAAAAGGCCAAACAGGAAUGGCAAUUGAACCGCUGGCAAGCACUUAUAGCUGCCUCAAGUACCCGUAAUUCCCGAAAAUUCUGGCUGUUGGUUAACAGAAAAUCUAAAAGAUACCCCUUAACAGUUAUUCCUGCCCCAAUUUGGGAAUCCUUUCUAAGGAAUUAUUUUGCCUUACCAGACCUUAAUAUUAAUACAAUCGAUGGAGUCUAUGAGCAGCUCCUCUUUGGCCACCCACUGACCCGGAAGAAAUCCACGGACUUAUUUCUAAUCUUAAAAUCGGAAAAGCCCCGGUCCUGAUCUAGUCCCGCGGAAGCUAUAAAACUUCAUGCAGACUGGUGGGCGAAAAUCCUGGCCGCUAUCUUUGAUGCCGUAAACAACAGUGGGAAGGUACCAAGAAUAUGGAAGGAUGCAAUUAUUGUUCCAAUUCAUAAAAAAGGCUCGACAGAUGACCCGGGAAAUUACAGGAAUAUCAGUUUAUUGUCAUCAAUUGGGAAAAUAUAUGCACGGUUCUUGUUAACUAAGCUUACUAAGUGGGCCGAAGAGAACAACCUGAUUGGGCCUGAACAGGCUAGUUUUAGACCGAAUCAGUCAGCGGUUGAUCAGGUCUUAAUUUUAUACCACCUUGCCCGGAAAUACUCCUCCCCAAAUAGAGGCCAACUUUGUGCGGCCUUUAUUGAUUUAAAGGCCGCUUUUGACAGCAUCCCCAGAGGAUUGCUUUGGGGAAAAUUAGCCCGAUGGGGAAUAGACAAAAGACUUUUGUGGCUAAUAACUAAAUUGCAUGACGGAUCGGCCGCUAGGGUGAGAAUCACUCCGGCAGGCGACCUCUCAAACUCAGUAGUUAUCAAUAGAGGUGUUCGCCAAGGAUGUAUCCUUGCUCCGACCCUUUUUAAUCUAUUUAUAAGUGAUAUGAGGGCGCCUCUGAUAGAGGCUCAAGAAACGAUCCACACCCCCCGCCUUGCCCAAUAUCGUUGCCCCCUUCUACUCUACGCAGACGACACAGUGAUCCUAUCCUUUUCAAGAGUCGGCCUUAGGAGGGCAUUAAAAAUCUUCGAUGUUUACUGCAAAUCAAAUUUUCUUACAAUUAACCAUGUUAAGUCCAAAGUCCUAAUUUUCACCAAGAGUCGAAAAACCUAUAAUUGGAGAAUAGACGGAAAAGCUAUUGACCAAGUCUUUAAAUUUCAGUACUUGGGAGUCUUUCUCCAACACAACAUGGGCUGGAAGGUCCAUGUUGCAUAUGUAUUAAACAGAGCUAAAGCCCUUUCCUAUGCGCUAUUGCGUUUUUUUAAUUUCAGAUGGGGCUUUCCAUAUUCCAUCAGUGUUAAAAGUUUUCAAGGCAAAGGUGAUUGCAACAAUAGCAUAUGCAGUCCCAUUAUGGGGGUCCUUUGCUAAUCUAACCCAUUUGGAGGUAAUCCAAAACCAGCUUUUAAGAAGGUUGUUAAAAUUACCCAGGUGUGUAAGCAAUACUGCUAUACGACUGGAACUAAAUGUUACAUCUCUAGAAACCACAUUAUGGAAAUGCAUCCUCUGUUAUUGGUUGGCUUUAUGGCAUAAACUUCCAAAUCUCCACUUGAUACAGUGCCUCUGGAGAGAUGACUUCCCUAGCCCCUGGGCAAAAAUAAUACAUGGGAAACUUGUGUCCCUAGGACUAUCUCCAUCUGAACUAUUAAAAUUGGAUUUAAUUUCGGCCAAAAGAAUUAUAACUCACAAAUUAGAGGAGAUGGAUUUACAAUUUAAUAUUGCGACAGGUGGUGGCACCUGUUCGCCGAUAAACCUUGGCUUAACACCACCAACGAAACUUCCAUCUUACUUAACUACCUUAUCUGUGGUGACGCACAGGUAUGCCUUUAUAAUGGCUAGAUUCAAUGCUUUCCCAUCAAACGUGUUGGGUAACAGACUCUCCAACGGACAGAUCUCACUCCUCUGUGACUGUAAAAGCGGAUCUAUAGAAUCGUUAUAUCAUAUAAUCUUCUGUUGUCCAUUACAUUCGGCUUCACGGUCCAAGUUUCUGGCCCCAUAUUUAUCGAGAAUUGCUGACAGUCCUCAGGAAGCCCAAAUAAUAUACUUAUUAAACGACGAAGAUACAAGUAGAUCCCUUGCAGUCGCUAGAUACCUGAUUAAUGUUUUAUUUCAAAAGAGGAGAAAUGGAUCACUGUAUGUUUCUGACAGCUUAGCUAAACUUAAGAACCAUCAAUAAGUGCCAGAACUAAGACGUAUACCCCCCAAAAUCUGAUGGAUCGGAAUUGCGGUUUACAUAGAGGGAGCUUAUUGUGUAUAGUGUUUACUAAACUAAAGUAAAAUCGGUUUUUAUAAGGGUGUUUUAACUUGGAACUGUUUAAAUUGUAUUGUUUAUGGAUAAAUUCUGAUGUAUUGUUUUCGAUAUGGGCCAAUGGCCGCAAUAAAAUAAAUCUCAAUCUCAUAUAGGCCUUGCAAUCUUCCCAUUCAACUGUCAGGACAAAGUUGAAUCUUCAUGAUUUUCACAAUAUUCCUGAAGUUCAGAGCCCAUCUGCAUUCUGAAAUUAUCAUCAUUCCAUUCUUUAUUUUUUUUAAAAUCAUUUUUAUUGAUUUUCCAAUAAAAGCAUCCAAUUAAUAUAUCCAAUCAUAAUACUUCAAUUAAAAUUAAAAACUAAAAUAAAAAGACCAAAUUAUGGUCCAAAUUAUAAUUAUUAAUUUUUCGGAGCUCCCCAUGGUCUGCAUCUCUGAAGCAUAUCUCCACAUCUCGGUCCUGCCUCUCCUGGUUGUUUCCAUAUUUUCCACAUCUCGAUUUUGAUGCUUUAAAAUUCUCCGUCCCUGAGUCCAUGAUUCUCAAUCAUGUCAAACAUCAUAUACUUUGAUCCGUCGAAUACAGCUUUGUUAGUAUAUAUUUUUCCAACUGCCUUUUUAUCAGCGCAGCUUCCUCUGACUCCAUUCCAAUCCGGGAUGUUGUCCAAGUCUGUUAUCUGAAGUUUAAUGGUGCAGCAACUCCCAAUCAUUAAUUGUCCAAACCUUCCUUUUGAACUUUAUUGAACCAGUAUCUUCCAAGUUAAAUUGUUAGGCAAAAUUGUUUGCAAUAUUGCAAUGUAGAUAAACUGUAUUCCACAAAUAUCAGUCAUUUGGCGAUUGAUCAGCCUUUGGGGACCACACUCUCCCCCCUCCAGGCCCUAGAGGAGGGGCUGCUAGACACCACUUAGUCUUCUCUCUCGCUCAUAAUGAAUAUAAGAAACUUCUGCAAACAGCUGCACUGUGUAUUGUUCCAAGUUGUUAUCUCAAAUCAUUGUAAAAUCAGCCAGCACAUAACUCCUGCUUCCCUCAAAGAAAGGGAGGAACAUAUUUUUCCAUGCUGUGUCAUAUUAGCGAGCGCCAUCUUGCCUCCUCUUCCAUCUUUAUCAGGUCUUUCAAGUCUUAAGUAAAGCUGCACAAUUAAAUGCCUAAUUAUAAAUAGAAGUCCAUCUGUUCUCUUUUUUUAAAAAAAAAAUAAGUUCCUAGUGAGACUUGGCAUUGAAAACCAAUUGUAGAUGUUAAGUGGGUGGGGGGGACAUACCAAACACAUGUCCGUCCCCUCGCCCACUUAACAUCAAAACACCAUGAUGAUAAUCUUUUUGAAGACUGAGCUUAAAGCCCCAGGGACUGUACACAUCUGCAGGUUUUUUUCUUAAGCUUCUUCAAUCCAGUCCAUGUCUGUUUAUUGUCCAAAUCCAUUCAUUUUUUUCAAACAGAUGUUCCCGGCUAUGAGAAUGGCAUUGGAGAGUGCCAGCCGUACUGUGCUUUGCAACCCAAUGUCCUGCUGCUUGCACCUUGAUGCAAGUCAGCAUUCUUGGGCAAUCUGCAGGUCUACUAGACAGUCCUCUCCCAACCUGGGGAGUCGGCCAGGGCUAAUUACCCCCAUAUCAGUCCUGAAUUACUGGCACGACUGGGGUCUGGUUGUAUGGGAGUCAGCCAUUUCCCACACCCGGAAACAGGAAGCUCCAUUCCAUUCUUUAUUUUAAACAAUAUUUUUAUUAAAUUUUCAACAAAAAUAAAAAACAACAACAAACUCAACAACCACAAACAAAGAAAUAUAUACAUAAAAGCAAUAUCAAAUCCAUAAAAUGGGAUUCUCCCAUGACUUCCCCCUCCCCCCUCCUCUGGUUCCUUAAUUUUCUUUUUCAAUUGCAUAUCAUUCCUACUCCAAAUUAUUUUCCUACCUCAAAUUUCUUACAUUAUUUAUAAAAUUACAAAUGUUCUUAAAACCCUGCCAAUGUAUUAACCUGUUUACAAUACUUUUGUAACACAAUAAACAUUUCCCAUUCUUUUUAAAAUUUAUUGUCAUCUUCAUUUCUGAGCUUUCCAGUUAAUUUAGUCAUUUCAGCAUACAGUAGUCCAUUAACUUGGUUUGCCAAUCUCCUUUGGUCAGAACUGCUUCUUCUGGGGUAACAGUAUCAGGGCAGCCGUUGUAGCAUACAUAAACAAUUUUUUUUGUUCUUUUGGAAUCUCCACUCAUAGAAUGCUUAAUAAAAAGGCUUUUGAUUUUUUAGCAGAGGUUACUCUAAACAUUUUUUUUCAUUUCAUUAUAAAUCAUUUCCCCAAAGAUUUUAACCUACAUUGCCACCGCAUAUGAUAAAAUGUUCUCUGUUUCUCUACAUUUUCAACACUUAUUAGAACUUGUUCUGUACAUUUUUGCUAAUUUAACCAGGGUUAAAUACCACUGAUUCAUCAUUUUCAUGUAGUUCUCUUUCAGUAAAGUACAUGCAGUAAAUUUCAAAUCUAACUUCCAAAGCCUUUCCCAUUCCGUCAUUAAUAUAUUAUGUCCCACAUCUUUCGCCCGUUUAAUCAUAACACAUUUGACCUGUUCCUCUUUGAUGUCCCACUCCAAGAGCAGAUUUUACAUUUUUUACAGCAAUUUGGUACUACCUUUUACUAUUUCUCUCUGAAACCUUGACACUUCAUAGCUAAAUCCUUUCUUUUUAUCAUUUUAAAAAGUUUCAUUUAAUGGGAAAUAUUGUAACCAGUCUAUUACCUUUUCUCUUCUUCAAAUUUUUAAAAUUUUAAUUGAUUGCUUCUUUCGCCCAAUUUUUCCUCAUAUUUACUUUUUUUUAGAGAGAGAGAGAGAGACAUUGCUUCUAAUGGGGAAAGCCACUAUGGUGUUUUCUGUUCUAAUAAAUCUUUAUUUCUCCCAAACUUUUAAAAUCAAGUUUCUUAUUAUAUGAUUAUGAAAACUUUUAUGAACUUUUGCCUUAUGAUACCAUAGAUACGCAUGCCAACCAAAUCUGAUCAUGACCUUCCAAAUCUAAUAAAUCAGCAUUUAGUUACAGGUAGGUAGCUGUAUUGGUCUGCCGUAGUCAAAACCAACCAACAAACAAAAUUCCUUCCAGUAGCAUCUACUGGUGCUACUGGAAGGAAUUUUUUUAUUAUUAUUUUGUUUUGAAAUCAGCAUUUGUUAAGUUUAUCCAAUCCCGGAUCCAGCAGGUGAAAGAUGCUUCAUAAUAUAAUCUUAAAUCCAGUAGAGAGAAACCUUCUCUGUCUUUAACAAUUAUUAAUAAUUUAUGUUUAAUUCUUGGUGGGUUUUUUGUUUUUUUAAUUAUCUUUAUUGCAUUUUAAAAAAUUACAGAGAAAGCAUGAAUUAAACAUUACAUCCAAAUAUUCAAAAAUAAAAAGGAAAAAUAUAGAAAAUAUAUAAAAACAAAAGAAAAACAAAAACAAAAAGGGGUAAGAAAAAUAAUAAGAAACAAAAAAUAAUUAGUCAAGUACACAAAAUUAUUCAAAGGAUACAAACAGAAAUUUGAAUUUUCUAUAUGCCAGGUUCUCAGAAAGUAUUUACAUUUGUAAUCCUUCUUUUCUUUCUUUCCUUACAGUCACUUUCUAUCCGUUCCGUUAAACUAGUUUGAAUCCCUGCUAUAUUAGUUGACUUCCCUCUAUCUCUUUGCAACUUUGACACUUCUCUUAAGUGACAAAUAUUCUGUAUUCAUUUAUUAAAACCAGUUUUCCCCAUUAAUUUUUGGUUUUCCCCCUCUCCAGAUAAAUUUUGAAAUGUCUUUUUGUCAUUCUUUGAAGCAGCUCACAUUGCUUACCACUGGGAUUGACUCAAAUAAAAACAUUUUUGGCAAUGUGUUCAUCUUGAUCACUGAAACAAAGUUAGGCAGCUGCAUAACAAACCAGAGCAUGAUCUGAAGUAGCAAUUGGGUAUCAAUACAAUGAUGCUACAACAUGUUGAAGUAAAGAAGAGAGAACUAAAGAAAAAUGUCUGAAUGAAAGCAAUUUGGAUGCACUGAUGGAAAAGGGCAGAUCUGAAAGUGCGCAGAGUGUCACUGAGUUAAAUACUUAAAUCUAUAUUCCUGAAUCAUAAAGGCAACAGCAGCCAGACCUCACUAUCUUAACUAGAGGAGCUUGGCCAGUAAACUACCAGGCCAGCCGCCUCGAGUCUUUGCCACAACUUUUUCUGUGAGCACUUACAAUACAGAAUUAAAGGCAGAAUUUUGCAACAUGGCAUAAUGCACUAACUGCAUGCAGUUUAACUCUUAUUAUGUUGUCAAUAAUGGAUAAAAUUAAAUUAACGCAUUGCCUAUUGCUGACAAUGUUAGUCUCUUUCCUUUUCCAGGAAGCCUAAUGUAUGUCAUAAAUGGCCAGGGAGGCAUGACUUAGCUUAAACAUAGAAAUGAUAGUGCAAUUAAAAUGCAUCUUAGGAACAGAAUAAGAACCCUGUACAAAUGUGCAUAGAAAUUAUGCUGAUGCUGUGUUUCCUUGCUUGUCUGUGGGUGCUGAUAAAUUCACCAAUACCAGGCUUAAUUUACCAUUGCAGUCUUCAUCAGUUUUUAUGUAGUAGUUCUGCCUGUUUCCCCCCCCCCCAAUGCUAUUAGGUUUUUAACAAAUAGUUAUAAACUCUUUUAGUGACAUUAUUUUCUCUUAAAGUGAUGCUCUUAUAUUAAGUUCAUCUUAUGCACUUAUGUUUAUGUAUAGCCCAUAUUGACUGGAAAUUCCAGAGUAAUGCUUCAUUUCAUCUACUGUGACAAAAUGUGCAUUUAGAUCAUCUCCAUUUACUUGUGAAAGGAAGGGCAAGAUUCUCAACCAGGAUUUUUAAAAAAUAUGUAAUUCUUACUACAAGCCUGUGAGGUAGGUUAAGCAGGGAGAUAUGCAUUGGGUUAAGCUUUAGACUCUGUGAGGUUUAAGAAAGCCUGCUAUUGGAUAUAUUCAAGAUUAAAUAUAUCCAGAAUUGGCCUCUACAGUCACUUACAGACUCACUGUUAAGACCAUGUUCAUGGAAGACUAUCUUACUGGGCUAUGAGUGAUCGCAGAAGAAGAAGAGGAGGAGGAGGAAGGGAGGGAGGGAGGAAGGAAGGAAGGAAGGAAGGAAGGAAGGAAGGAAGAAGCCUAAGUGAGAGCUGGCUUGAGCGCAUCCUGCAUUGGAAGCCGUGUGCUGACAGUUUCCACCCCACCUGACCAUACCUGAGGAGCCCCAACCAGCUCACAACUUUGUGAGUCCCAAACCCUGGCUGUGUUAUGCAGGAAAAGCCCCAGUGGGGGUUCCUUUUCCCACCCCAGAUCACAAUGCCCUGAGUGGAAGUUGUAGGGAGUCCCUUGGUGUUUUGGGACAAAUACGUAUGGAUGACUGAAACUUAUUUUCCUGCGCAGCUCUGCUGUUUUGACCAGGCUUUCUAUCCUGUUCAUGAGCCAGAGGGGAGUCCCGACUGAUGGGUCCAGUUGCAAAGCAUCAACAUAGCAAGUGAGUAUGGGAGUGUGCAAAAAGAGGGUAACUAGCAUCCAUUAUACAGUGAACAGUACAGAAAGAGAACAUGUUAAAGAAAACACAGCCAUAUACUCAUGAACCUGAAUGCUGUGUUAGCUGUUACAUUUCCCCCCUCUUUUCCUGUUGCACCAAACACUGAGGUUUUCAAGAGUGUCCUAUUCAAAAUGAAAAUAAUCUAGCACAAAUGUGCAAAUCCCUGUUUAGUUUUAUGAGAGUACAUUGUGGCUCUCUGAUAAGCACUUGUUCUGCACCCCCCAGUAAACACUGGGUGUUCUCAUCUUUAUCAAAGGAUGUGGACUUACCACAACACUGGCUAAUGAAAAAGCUGCUGAUACCAGAAACAUCUGACAGAACCAGCCCAUGUUUGCUUCACAUCUCAUUCUCUGCAAGAUCCAGAUAGGAAGCCUGAUUAUCUGAUAUGGCAGGAUUGCUUUCAGCAUGCAGCUGUGUGGCUGGAAAAUUGCUUUCUUCUAACAAAAGAUAUUCUCAGUGAAGGCUGACAGCUCUGUCCUGUUAUUAAUAACCAGCUACAUUAACAGGCCACAAAUAUGUGAGUUAUUUAGGAAUGGUAGGAUCCCACUCAUCCCCACAUUUACGGUAUUUCACUUCUUCUAUCAAGGGUUGCCCUACUUCUCUUGCAUUUCCAAACCAAAUUGAGAAAAAGAACAGCCUAGAUGCAUUUUAAGCCAGUAAUGUUCUGUGGUGAUGUGUUGGCUGUGGGUUUGUUUGUUUGCCAUGUUCUGCCAUUCUUGCCUCUCAUGAUGUCAGCAUCAGAAAUAUUUUGUGGAGAUGUUGAGGUUGAUGCUUUUGGUCCCUUGCCCCUUCCACCACGGAUAUGGGAUGUUUCCUCUUCCCUAUGUCACUUAAACUACUGACACUCUUUCAACUAUUUUUUGCCAUUUUCUCUUCAUCUGAGCAAGAUUAGCUUCCCCCAAAAGAUGAUCUUUUAUUUCAGACCAACUUCACUUGUUUGGAACAAAAUCUCCAACUUCAUGAGAGUUGUCAUCAUCUCUACAUGUGCCACUGUCAUCUUUUAUUAGUACUGCUAGAAUGAUUUCGGCAGAAAAUGUGUGUCUUUUUGCCACUCUGGAUUGUGGAACAAAGGAUGCAGCCUUGAUCGCUGCUGGAAACAUACAAGCCUCUCCACCUCUGUUUGUACUGAAGCUUAGGUAGAUGGGAGUCAGCAUUGUGACCCCGUCACCCUUGACCCUGAAACUGGCCUUCCCCCUUAGCAUAAGGUUACCAGACAUCCCCAUUUCCCAGGGACAGUCCCCGGAUUUACAAAUCAGUCCCCAUACAAAAUCCAUUGAAAUUGAAAAGUGUCCCCGAAUUCAUUGAAAAAAAUCUGGUAUCCUUACCUUAGCAAGGAAACCUACUCAGCUUGAAACCCACAGGCGCAGGGGCUUCUUGAGAGAGGGAAUGGAUGGAAGACUGGAGUAGUUUUCUGCUCUGUUGUAACUUGCUCCUUUGUUGUUGCUGCUGCUGCUGUUUUGCAGACUUUGCUCUUCUAUGAAGGGGAGGGGGCGGGAUAAGGGGGAAGUGAGAGAUGUGAUUUCUUUCAAAUGUGAUAAGGGUGUGAUUUUCAUUGCAAACGUAAAGAUAAUGCAGGGGUGAAAAGUGAUGCAGAGAUUACCUGAACUUGAAUCCUGGGGAAAGAGUUAUCAAAGGUUACUUUGCUUUCUUUUUCUUUUUGCAAUUUGCAAUGUAUUACUAUAAAUAGCUGAACCGGUCUGAAUGAAUUUUAAAUGAACCCUGACCCUAAAUUGGCAUCAACCUAAACUUGAAUAAGUAAGUUUGGGCAAGUCCUUUAAACAGAAAUUGUACUGGGAUAACUGUUUACUCAAGCUAUUGAUAUGGGCUUGUGGUAAGUUGUUACCCCAUAUGGAAAGACGAUUCAUGCAUGAAACUGUGUGCAGUUUUUCAUCUGCAGAGAACAAACGGAUUGUGCUUACUGUUCUGUAUCUGGGCAGUAUUGUGUGCUGGCUUCUCAUGGGCAAUGGCCUACAAGGAUAAAGUUUAAAGCAAAAACGAGGCUCUGAACUAUUGUACAAAGUGCAUCUGGGUUGGAAGCUAUCUCAUAGCACAUGUGAAAGAUUAUUUAUUUUACAUAUUAAAAAUCUGCAGUCUUUAUUGCAUUUGUAAGGUAUGCUAAAAUAUUAUGUGGGUUGCUGGAUAUUUUUUUAGUACUGGUCUUUGCAGGUUCACGUCUCUCCUUAUAAUAUACAUGACCUCACAUUUUGCUUCUACAUUUUACUUUAGGUCCAUUAUGAAAAUAUUGAAAUAUACAGAACUAGAAAUUCAAUAUAGUGGGUGAAAAAUGUUCCCUUCUCAUGUGCUCCUAUGACACCACUUCAUAUUUGUGUCUCUUGUCCUCUGACAUCCUCCAUUCUUUUGUGAUGUUCAUGGUCUUGAUUUCUUAGACGCUGUGACAAUAUUGCCAUUAGUCAUAUGCAACCUGUAUAGGAACUGUGAAUGGACCCUAUAAUGAAUUUAUUACCUCAGAUGGGCUACAGGGAGAACUAUGAAUGAUGUAUAUGGCCACUUGGAAGCCGAAGCAAUCAAUCAAGUAGUUUAACCUUUCCCCCCUCUUUUAAUAGAAAUUGUCCAUUAAUCUUUGUGUGUGGAACAUGGCACCUCCAAUUAGUUACCAUCAGGUCCCUUUCUGCCAUUGCACAGUUCCGUAUGAGACAAAUGGACACUAAUUUCUGUCACAUUACUGGAAGAACUACGACCACAGCAACAGUGAAAAUGGAGCAGGAAAAUUUAUUGACAGAAUGUGUAACUAUUAAAAUAAACGUGCCUCAUGGUAUUAAUUACCAAAGAUUGGAAUUUAAGUGUCAAGAUUGUGUCUAAGUGACUAGAUCACACUGUAAGUAUGAUUAUUAACAAUGUUAGAACAAGGGUCAACACAUCCUUAGCCUAACACAUGUUAAGGAUGUUCUUUUACUCUCAGCAACAUAAGUAGUGCUUUGCUUCAGUGUGUUAAGAGUGAACUUGCAACAAAGUUCACAUAUCUAUAAUAGAAACAAUACACCAAUGAAGAUGAAAAACUAAAACAUCAGAAAUAUAAAAAUAUGUAAACCAUAAUCUUGAUCUGAAAAACAAAGGACAUGGAGAUUCAUCUUCAGAAAGAUAACUAAGAGUCCUAGCUGAUUUAAACAAAGAUUUCAACUAAAUGCUGAGGGGGAGGGAGACAAUAUUACAGAUGACAGGGUAACAUCUGAUAAUAGCUUCAUUGAUGCACAGGAAACUGGCAUAGUGCUACAGAAACCCACUAAAGGGCAGGAACUACAGGAAGGAAGCAUCUGGAAGGAAUUACUCGUGGUUUCAGUUAUCUUUAAGCUAAUGCACAGAGUAUGGGAAACAAGCAAGGUGAAUUGGAGCUUUUAAUACAGGAUGGCAAAUAUGAUGUAAUAGGCAUUAUUGAAAGCUGGUGGGAUAAGACAUGACUAGAAUGCAGAAAUUGAGUGGUGUAACCUACUCAAAAGAUGUAGACCUAACAAGAAGGCAAGAGGAGGAGCAUUUUUUGCGAUAAAAAUGAAUGUGCUGCCGAGGAUGUUGUUUUUGUUUCAAACGUUGCAGAUUUUGGACAAGAUGGAUUGUUUCAAGAAGUGGCAGAGAGAUAUUUCUAGAUUUGUCUGGCAGGGCAAGAAGCCUCGAAUAAAAUUUAAGAUAUUAACUGAUGCUAAAGAAAGAGGUGGAUUUGCCCUGCCAGACCUUAAACUUACUGUGAAUUAGCUGCUUUUUGCUGGCUGAGAGAAUGGCUACUUCUUGAAAACACUGAUGUGCUGGAUUUAAAAGGUUUCAACAAUGUAUUUGGCUGGCAUGCAUAUUUGUGGUAUGAUAAGGUAAAAGCACAUAAAGCGUUUAAAAACCAUAUUGUUAGAAAAGCACUGUUUAAUGUUUGGGUAAGAUAUAAGGACAUGCUAGAAAACAAAACCCCAAGAUGGUUGUCACCAAUGGAAGCGAAGGCUCAGAAAAAACUCAAUAUGGAGGCCAAAUGGCCGAAAUAUUGGGAAAUUUUAGAACAAGAUCAGCAAUUCCUUUCCAUCCUCCUCUGUUUUCUAUCCUAUAAUUAUCUUAACUCAUUCUAACCUUAUUUUUUUCCUUUAAUAUUCUAUUAACCUAUCUGUACUUUAAUUCCUUAUAAUAUUUCUACUAAAGCCAUAUAAAUUCAUUUCAACAUUUUUCUAACAUUCAUUAAUUUUACAAUAUUUCUGUAAAUAAUCUUUAAACUUUUCCAGUCUUCUUCCACCAACUCCUCUCCUGGUCUCGGAUUCUGCCAGUCAUUUCCGCCAGUUCCAUGUAGUCCAUCAACUUCAUCUGCCAUUCUUCCCAGGUGGGCAAAUCUUGUGUCUUCCAAUACUUCGCGAUGAGUAUUCUUGCUGCUGUUGUUGCGUACAUAAAAAAGGUUCUAUCCUUCUUUGGCACCAUUUGGCCGACCAUGCCCAGGAGAAAGGCCUCUGGUUUCUUCAGGAAGGUAUAUUUAAAUACCUUUUUCAUUUCAUUAUAAAUCAUCUCCCAGAAUGUCUUAAUCCUUGGGCACGUCCACCAAAGGUGAAAGAAUGUGCCUUCAGUCUCAUUACAUUUCCAACAUUUAUUGUCAGGCAUAUGAUAAAUUUUUGCAAGCUUGACUGGUGUCAUGUACCACCUAUAAAUCAUUUUCAUUAAGUUUUCUCUUAAGGCAUUACAUGCCGUAAAUUU
rnacentral:lncRNA from 1 species